rnacentral:lncRNA from 1 species
UUUUUUUUUUUUUUUGUGAUAAAGCCUGAAUGAAUAAGUUGAGUUUUAUCCUUAGUUGCUUAAAUUUAGAUCUAGUAAUUGGGCUUUGAGGGAAAUUAAGCUCAUUUUUAUUAUGGCCUUUAAAUUGGACUGAGUUGCUGGUAUCAAAUGGUGCUAAGACUACUAAAGAAGACAUUUUUUAUUAAGAAAAUCCUGUAGCAAUCACUAAUAGCAAUGGCGAUAGCAACAUACUGACAUAGAAUGGGUUUAAUGAAAAGAACCAACAAUAGACGGUGAAAAGGACUGGAGGGCUUAAUGGAUUUAGCAAUUUGGAAAAUGGGAGUAAUGGUGAGAUUUUCAAGAACGAGAUGAGAGAUUUGGUUGAGAUUUUAUUUAAGCUUAACCCCAUGGUUGAGGAAUUUGUAAUAAAGCCUUGUUGCUUUAUGUACGACAGUUCCUUGUCAGUAAAUCCGCCAUGGUUGGAAACAUAAGGCUACAAAAACUGAAACUAAAAGAAACAUGUGUUGUGACUUGUGUUUUUCUUUGAUUUUACUGGAACAACAAGUCAACAACUAAAGGGGACACAGAAAGAGAGCAGAAGGAAGAAGAUGAAUCAAAAUGAAAAAUAAUUGUUAAAUAGAUGAUGUGAUCUAUGACAUCGUGUUUAUGUGGCAUAAAGGUUAUUUUGCUGACAUGUGGUUUGAUGAUGAUUAACUCAUGUUUUCUAUUAAAAUUAGACUGACUUCUAAAAAAAUUGUAAUGUUAAAGGUAUCAAUCUAAAACAAAAAAGCUCAAACCUAAAAACCUAAAAACCUAUAAAUAUUGAGGGUAUUUUUGAUAAUUAUGUCACUAAUUAUAUAAAUGUAUGUAUUCUGCAGUUAUGUAUGCCACCUAAAAUAUUUAUUUAUAGUGCACCCCACCAACAAUCUCAUCUAUUUUAAACUUGUUUGAAUUUAAAAGGAAAAAAGAAUUGUAUUUCUUUAAAAAUUUUACAAUCUUUUAUUGAAAGGUUGAAAAAAUAAUAAUUUGUUUUUAAAAAAAUUAGGUGUUUUUUUUUUAAUUUUGAAGAGAUUCUUCAUAAGUUCUAAAAUCAUGUUUUUAUUUAUAUUUUUUAAUUAUUUGUUAACCUAAUAUAAGAUAAAAUAAUAUCACUUUGAUGGUGGAUGAUUAAACAUUAAUUUGGUACAAAUAAAAUAGUAAGAGUAAAAUCGAAUAAAGAUGUAAAGAUUUAGUUCUAAAUUUAUUGUUAUGUCUUAUAUAUAAAACACUGAAAUAAUUUUUUAAUAAGAUUAUUUUACUCCUUUAUCUAAUGUACAAAGAACAUUUUUUCUAUUUUUUAAUAAAAGAAUUACAAUACAUUUACCUUUUACAAUAUUUUUUUUGGUGAACUACACUAGUAAGGUAAAGCCCUAAACAACAACAUGAUUAGCAUGACUCAAAUCCAUGCCCACAUGGGAUGGUGAACACAUGGGACAUACUUGGUUCUAUUUUCAAAUAAAUGAAACGAUUCAGUUUGCUAAUGACCAUUGGAAAUGGAAAAUUGAGUUAAGGAGGAGUUUGUUUGAUUGGGAAAAUGAUAGUGGAGGGAAUUUUGUGAAUCUCUUCAAGAUGGUAACGUGGAGUCCCUCAAAAAACGACCAGUUAUUAUGGAAAGCUCCCAGCUGUGGAAAUGAUUCCCCUAAAUCUUAUUGCACUGCCAUCAUGUCCUAAGGUCAGCUAUGUGAAUAUAUAUGGGUCGACCUUGCCCCUCCAAAAAUGGAAGUGUUUGUAUGGCAACUCAUUCGAGGUCGAAUUCCAACCAAGGAGGAGCUUGGUUUCAUCGGACAGAGCUGUAUGCGCUUUUUGUACCAAUGAUAUUGGUAGAUGUUCCAUGGCAAUAUUCUUGUAUUUGCAAAUCUAUUGUGAAGCUGAUAUUUGGUAGGAAAAAUUGGGGUGUCAAAGCCAUUUCAAGGCUUGCAAAAGCUGGUGUGGAUAGAAAGGAUCUUUGUAUGUUUGUGCAUGAUCCUGGGGGCUGAUUCAUCAUCGCUUAUCAACUCAAGGAAAAUGGGCUUUUAUCUGUUAUCUGUACCAAACCCCAGGUUAAACAAUUUUCUAAUUUCUAUCUACUAAACAUUCCAAAAUUUUCUGUAGCAAGAGAUGUGAUUUUGCUUUAUACUAGAGAAACAAGUCAGUUUCAACCAUGAUAAAUAAAACUGGUCCCCUCGUGAAGACAAAACGUUUCAAACUUGAAUUGUUGACGGCAUUUCUUCUUCCCUAAAUCAUGUUGCUAUCAUAGGAUGGGCGAAUCGACUCAGGAUAUUUCUUACCUACUUCAAUUUUUUAUUAUUUCAACACUACGUUCAAUUCCAAGUUUCUGUCUAUUUAUUGCUUCCGCUCCUUGUUUGGUUCCUAAUUUUGCCCUUUAACAACUUCAAGAGCCACUUGCCUAUGCCUGCCUCCCUCUAUGCGAGUUUGUGGUUACACUUUCAACAAUAUUAUCUUUAAAAUUCGAACCUACAUCUUUCUUUUGAGAGUGUAAUAUAUUUUAUCAUUAUACCCAACUAUUUAUAAUAUUUUAAUCAUAUACUAAUUCAAUUCAAAUAAUUAAAAUUAUAUUGUUUUUACAAAAUAACAAAUAUUACUACAAUGAUAUUCUUAUAUUUAUAUCUUCUUAUAUAAAAUAUUACUAUAAUAGAAUUUAAGCCUACAACAUUAUAAAUUUGAAAAUUUUAACAUAACCAUUUUAACCAAAAUCUGGUUUACUUAUUUUCAUAAUUCUUUAAUAAUUACAUUUUUAUAUAAUAUUUUCACUCGCAUAAUCUAAUAUUUUUUUAUUAUCAAAAUCAAGCUAGUCAUCAUCGGCAAUAGUAAUUAAUCCUCUCCUCAUAAAUAUUCUCCAAAGAGAUAAAUGAUUGGCUAUAAAAUGUGUUUCUUUUUCGUGAGCGGGGUUCAAACCCCCAACCACACAAUCUAAUAUUGUAAAAAAAUUCUUACAUCUAACAUUCUUACUUUAACACAUAUUUGGAUGCAUAAAUAAAAAUUAUGAUUAUGAAAUUAAUUGAAAGUGCUAAAUAGAUUCACAUGACUUUCAUUUGCCAACAAUGUAAUGUGAAAUUUAGUUCUUAAUGUUUACAUUUUUUAUUACUUUGACGCUUAUUCUUUUUUUGAAUUUAAUUUGGCCAUUAACCUUUUUAAAAAGAGUCAACUUGUUUUUUAAUGAAAAUGUUGAUUAAAACAUUAAUUUUUUAACAAUGUUGGUGUAGAAGUUCACGUAUACUCGAUGCUGAUAUGAUAUUAAUUGUCUUAUAUACUACGUCAAAAAAUAAUUUAAAAAUUAUAAAAAAAAUCAAAAUGUAUAUAAAAGAGUUCAUAAAAAAUUAGCAUGAAGUAUAUGUAGAUUUUCAUGUUAAAAAAUUUGUUAAAAAAUUGACUUUUUAUCUGAAUGAUUGAUGAUCAAAUUUGACUCUUUUACAAAAAGUUAAAAGUCAAGAUUAAUAAAAUAUAUAAAUAUAAAUAUUGGGAACUAAAUUUAGCAUUAUAUAUUUUUCAAAUCUGAAUAGAUAUAUAUGUGUAAAGAUGAAAGACAGCAUGGGGUAGUAGUCCAAAUUUUAGCAAUGAUAUUAUACAAAAUUCAACACUUGUAACUCUAAUCUAUUCUUAAACUAUACCUUCAAGACAAAAUAUAGUUGAGCAGAUUCAGAAGUACAAAACAAUGGAUAAACUAAACUAAGCUUUGACACCAAAUUUAAAUCACAACACAGCGCUUACAGACAAAUUAUAACUUGGUGCCGUCCAUUGUAUUAUAACUGAUUAAAGCUGUUUUUCUUACACACUUUAAAAGCAAUAAAGCAAUAAAGGGCAACUCAACUUGUCUCCUACUAAUUUUUGGUUCUAUUUUUCCCACUUUCCCAUCUUUACACAAACUUGCUUCAAUAUCAAUUUUAUAUAUGUUUAUGAUAGUUAAAAAUAUUUAUGAAAAUAGUUCGGUUAUAAAUUAUUUACAAGAAUGAAAUAUUUAAAUAGUGUUUUUAAGCGUCAUUAACGUAUUAAGCGAUAUCAACUUUAAAAGUACUCUUAUCAGAUGAAAAAUUAUUUUUUAAGUGAUGUUGUUACCUUAUCAAAUGAGAUUUAAAUUAUACUAUAAAAAUACGGAUAAUAUGAAUGUUAAAAUAAUAUAUAUAUAUAUAUAUAUAAUGAAUAAAUAUACAUAUCAAUGAUACUAAUGUAUCAAGCAUGAUAGAUUUAAAGUUUGAAAAAGAAGAAGAUUUAGAUAUAUUAGACCUUUUCUUCAUACCAAUAUAAACAAUGGCCCCUUCCCCUCCUCCCACACAUACUUCAGCUAAAGCAAAGGUAAAAAAAGGAAUUUACUUAUAAUAAAUUGUAUAUUAUAUAUUUAUAUUCUAUUAUUAAAUGUUUAGAUUUUAGGGUUUGAGGUUAUAUUUAUAUCUUUAUAUUUAUAUUUUGGGAUAGUUUGUGAAUCUGUUUCUAAUAGUGUAUGUUUAUAGUUUUUGACUUUUUUUUUUAAAUUUUUUAUGUUUAUAAUUUAUAUAUUAAUUAAUUAUGUUCAUAUUUUAUUUACAUGUGGUUUUUUUAGAUAAAAAAGCAAAUUAACUACGGAAUAUCUACAAUAUUAUAUGCUUAACUUCUCCAUCAAUAGAUUUAGGGUCUCCUAGAAUAUUAUAGAACCGUAAGGAAGAUUUCUCAUCGAAGCAACCAAUUCAUAGUAUUUGUACUUUAGAGAUUAGCCUGUGAAACCGAGAGGUAAGUGUGUGUGAUUGAAUUUUUUUUUGUUUUUGUUUUUAUGUUUGAAAUUUAUAUUUUAAUUGAUUAUUUACGUUUAUAUAUAUAAAUUAUUAAUUUGGAUAGAAUAGAAAUUUUCAAUUGCAAACAUUCGGGUUAAGGUAAUUUAUUUUAGUAUUUUUUCUGUGUAGUUGAUGACUAAUAUUUUUAUGUGGAUAUUUUAUUUAAAUAAAAUAAAAAUAAAAUUAUUUACGAAAAUUAGCUGUGCUAAAUAUUAUUAUGUGAAAACGUUAUUGUUUUAAUAUAAUAUGUUUCUUCAAUUUUGUUUGUGCAAAUAUAUUGAAAUGGCUUCGUUGAUUAGAUUAAUCAAUCACAUUGCCAUGAUGAUUAAUGUGUUGGUAAAAAUAAUUGCUACUUGCUAUUCACGAUUAUUUUAUAAAUUUGCAUAUCAUUAAUAUUUUAAUUGUCAUAUUUAGUUAAUAUGGUAAUUAGUUAUGGACAGGGUGAGUCCCGCAUUUUGAGAGCACGUGUCCACGCUCCAAGCUACAACUGAUCAACAAAUGUAUUUUACUGUACUUGAAUGUUACGGGAUUUGAAACGACAAAAUUGAUUAGGACAUUUGAACUUAAGGCUGACUUAUGAAUAACCAUAAGAAUUGAUUGUAAAAAAAAUUAAAUUUAUGUUUACUAGUAUAAAAUAUAAAUUACACUAAUAUAAAAACGAUACAAUCUAUAAAAUUUAAAAUGAACCAAAAUCAAAGUUUGUUAGUUUAUUUUUAUUCAAAUUAUUUUUUAAAACUAGUAUUUUUUAUUGAAACGUACUUGAACAUUAAAUUAAGGGUCUAUUUGAUUGACGGAAUUGAUUUUCCGGAAAAUCAUUUCCAACUUUUCCAGCGUUUGAUUGGCGGAAAACAUUUUCCAUUUGGAAAAUGAACUCCAAAACAAGGGAAAAUGGGUUACAUUUUAGGGAAAAUGUCUUACCCUUUCAAUUUCCGUAAGACAUUUUCCGUGCUCUCCUCUCUAUCGCAUCCUUCAUUCCUUCCUUCAUUUCCGGUAGAAAAUUGCUUCUGUUUAUCGAUUUUCCAGUAACUAAUUUUUUUAAUUAUUCAAUACUUUUUUAACACAAUUACAAAUAAUUUAUUUGAUAUUAGUUUUUUUCAAUUUAUAACGAUUAAUAUUGUAGCUUAAUAAUUGAGUAUUAUUAUAAAUAAAUCAUUGCAAUAUAUGUAAAAAUAAUUUAAAAUAUAAAAAUUUAUUAAUAUAUAUUAAUAUAUGUAAAAACAACUUUUUCAGAAAAUAUUUUCAGGGAAUCUGCCAAAUAGCAGAAAAUAUUUUACACAGAUUCAAUCAAACACCAGAAAAUAUUUUCAAGUAAAUUAUUUUACGGAAAAUAUUAUACUGACAAUCAAACAGACCCUAAACAUUCCAACAUACAUGCAUGUCUCCAGAGGAAAAAACCAAACAUACAUGAUCAAUUUUAUCCGUGAAUUGCUCUUUUUUUCUGGUGUAGCAUUUUUUCCAUGGGUUCAUUGUUUGUGAUUGUACUCCAACAAUUGGACCCCAUCCUAUACCGUACCAUGGCCGGGACAAUUAGGACAUUUUUCCAUGCACCUUUCCACGUACACCUUAACCCUUUCAUUUUAUAAAUAUUGUAUAUCCUCUCCAAAACCCAAAUCCCAAAAAUAUUCAUUGUCCAUACUCAGCUGUCAGCUUACCUAAUUCCGCCCCUUCCAUUCAUACGAGAGAGAGUAGGGACAAACAAACGCCACAACCACCAGCAUCAGCCGCAACCGCCGCCGCAGGAAGGACAAUAAGUACUAUGCGAUAAUGGACAGUCAGGAUCUUUCCCCACCAUCACACAUGGAUGCAUCUCGACCCUCCCUCGGUUUCCCUCUCGGCACUGCUCUCCUCUUAAUCAUCAUUUUCAGCUUGAGUGGCUUCUUCUCUUGCUGCUACCACUGGGGCAAAUUUAGAUCCCUCCGUCGAUCUUUCACCGACGCCGCCGCAGUUCCCGAUGACGAUAUCGAAGCAUCCCCCUCCAAACCUAAGCCUAACUGCAUGGUAAAACUUUUCCCUCAACAACAUGACAAAUUUUCAAGUACUCGAUUAACCUUGUUAGAUAAAAAAGGGUCUUUCAUAGUUUUUGACUUUCAACAAUCAAUUAAACAUGGAUUUGGGUUUUCUUGUUUUUCAGGAUUUAAAGAGAAACCAGAGCGAAAGCUUGCCUGUUUUAAUGCCUGGAGAUGAGAUUCCAAAGUUCAUAGCAUUGCCAUGUCCAUGUGAACCUCCACGAGAAGCUAAGGUUGUAAUAGAAGUGCAGAAGACACCCAAAUCACCUCGUUUUCCAGUUCCUUUGUAUUAGCAAAUUUGAUUGUUGUAAAUAUUGAAUCCCACUGUAGAUUGAUUGUUCAAUUUGUAUAGUGUUCACUGUUUACAGUUUUUCUUGCAAGUAGGUAGUUGUAAAUUUAUUAUGCCAUUUUUUUUCCUUGACUAACAGAGAGCCAGCUCUGUAUGUUUUCAGGAUAUACAAAUGUCUGGAAAUUUAGCCAUCUGGGGUUAAUCAGUCCAGAAUUGUCUAUUCUGAAUUACAAUCCUUACAUCGUGUUUAUCGAAAUUACAAACAUGGUAAAUGCUUUCAUAAAAAAAAAAAAAAAGACACAAAAUAACAGCAGAAAAUUGAGAUCCACGUCUCUAACUAACACUUGUCAGUGAAGAAUCCAUGCACGUCUUAGUCCAUAACUAAACAAACCUGACCCAGUUUUAUAUUGUAAGAAAACUUACAAGUCCUGCAAACUAAAACCGGCAUGCUUUAAGUGCAUCGAGUCUUUUAAUUUGGUUGGUAAUACCCAGUUUUCUAGACGACUUAAUUACUUUUACAUUAUUAUUUCUAUAGUAAUUAAUGUGAAUCCAAAUGGAAACGGAUAUUUUCAAAAAGAAAACAAGGGAAGAUUUGGAUGAAGACUAGUUUAUCUUUCUUUUUAUUUUUAAUCUUAAAAGCUUCCAUCCAAAAUAGGAAUUAAUGUCAAUUUGGGACCAUUUUGGUAUUUCUACUCAUCCAACCUAUGUAGUGGAAGCAAUCAUUAAAAUCAUAUUCAGUUAAUUCAGUUUUAAAAUUUUAAAAACUGAAAAAAACAAUGGAAGAACCGAUUAAAAUAUGUCUCUGCCCUAGGGUGGCCACCCAUGUUCUAAUGUUGAAAGUAGUUUAAAAUAUUGUUUUCCAACUUUUAAGGGGUCCAAAAAAGUGUUUUCUUUUAAAGGUUAAAAACAAAUUUUUACCAACUUUUAAGGGAUUUUAAAAAAAAUUUCUCCAACUUUUAAUAACCUAAAACAUUAACUAGGACCCAAAAAUAUUAAGAAACAACCUCUCUAUGCGUCUACUUGUACUUGUUUGGGAGAAAUGAUAAAAACAUCAUGUUAAAAGAAUAUCGAAUCUCCUCGGGAUUCAUGGUAUCAUAACCCUACAAACAUUAAUACCCUUUUUUGAAUUGUUUUUACUCUAACCCACUUCGGAUGCCACUGUGUUUUUCUCUCCAUAUGACCUAAUUUCACUAUUCACAGCAUUAUGUAUCAUUUACGAGUUUCAUGUUGAUUUUCAUUUUUCUUGCCGACGGUUUAUGUUUUCUUUUUCUUUUUUAUAAUAAAAGAAGACAACCAAAUAUCUUUAACUUAAAAAGAUCUUACAAAAAAAUUAUCAAAUUUAUCCUCUUAAGCUAACUUCUUAACAUGAAAUGUAAGAGCUAUUUUGCCCGGGGCCCAAAACACUAAAGCCCAAUACCAGCAAAAAAAACACACAGUCCAAAAUAAACAGUGGCCCAAAAUACCCAACAGGCCCAAACUAAGAAACCCUAGCCCAAAAAUUAACCCCAUUCAACAGUACAAAACCCUAGCCCCCAAGCCUCCAUGCGCCGCAUGCCCAGGCUCCAGCCCCAACGCCGUUUCGCCUCCUCUGCCAUGCCUGGCUACCACCGCUCUUAGCCGCCUUUCCUCCGCAUGCUCUGACACCUGCAAAAAUUGAAUGCAAAAGGCACGCAACAACAGAAGAAACAAAUAGCAAAAAGACAAAGAAAUAGAAAUUAAAAGUUGUGUAGAUCGGCUAUAAAAGCCGAAAAUCUCUCCCUUGUAAUCUUCUUCUUCGUUUUUUACGAACGCACAUAAGUAAAAUCAAAAACAGAAUACAGACUGAAAAAAGGUUGAAAAAUCCAAUCGUUUUUCCUCUUUUCGUUUCUUUAUUUUCUGUUCUUUUCAUUUAUUUUUAUUUUGAAUCAUUUGUUCAUUUCUUUUACAAAAACCCGUUUUUACAAAUAAUAUAGAAUAAAGAGAGAAGCAAAAAGAAAUACCUGGAACGCCCGUCGGUCAUGUCGUCGGAGGCCUCUCCGUCGCUGAAAUCGACUCAUAAGGGCGGGAUGGAAGUUUCUUUUUUUUUCUUUUCUUCGCAGCCAUCGAACCAAAAAACGUGGCCUUCGAACAAGAUCUGAAGUGGGGCUUAAAGUAGCCCCUACGCGCAGCGACGGCCACCGUCCAAGGUGGUCACGGCGGUGCUUAGCAAUGGCCUUGUUGGCUGGAUUUGGAAAGGCUGAGAGGGAGAGACCUUUGGCUCUCUCUGUUUUUCUUUCUAAAAAUGAAGGAAGGGAUUUCUUUUGUUUUUUUUUGUUAUUUAUGUAAGCUAAUGCAGCGCCGUUUGAAGGAGAGUGACCUGCACCUCUUUGCCCUAAUGGGUAAUUUGCGUAUUCGACCCCUCCCUUUCGCGCUGAAGCACAAUCUGACCCUUUUAUUUUUUAUUAUUUGGGCCAAAAAUUCUGUGUCGAAUUCNNNNNNNNNNNNNNNNNNNNNNNNNNNNNNNNNNNNNNNNNNNNNNNNNNNNNNNNNNNNNNNNNNNNNNNNNNNNNNNNNNNNNNNNNNNNNNNNNNNNNNNNNNNNNNNNNNNNNNNNNNNNNNNNNNNNNNNNNNNNNNNNNNNNNNNNNNNNNNNNNNNNNNNNNNNNNNNNNNNNNNNNNNNNNNNNNNNNNNNNNNNNNNNNNNNNNNNNNNNNNNNNNNNNNNNNNNNNNNNNNNNNNNNNNNNNNNNNNNNNNNNNNNNNNNNNNNNNNNNNNNNNNNNNNNNNNNNNNNNNNNNNNNNNNNNNNNNNNNNNNNNNNNNNNNNNNNNNNNNNNNNNNNNNNNNNNNNNNNNNNNNNNNNNNNNNNNNNNNNNNNNNNNNNNNNNNNNNNNNNNNNNNNNNNNNNNNNNNNNNNNNNNNNNNNNNNNNNNNNNNNNNNNNNNNNNNNNNNNNNNNNNNNNNNNNNNNNNNNNNNNNNNNUUUUUGUUUAAAACUUUUAUUACUUAUUGUACUUAAAGCAUCUAUUUUAAAUUAUUUUUACUUUAGAUUGCCUUAUAUUUUUUAUUUUCCUUGGAUUAUUAAUGUUGAUAUUAAGAUUAUCUACGUCAUGUGUUUAUUGACAUUGUAUAUACUAUGAUUUGCUUAUUUGUAUUCUUGUAUUUGGCAUGCAUUUAUGUACUAUCUAUUUCGUAAUUCAUUAUACUAUGUUCCUUUAUCGUUCCAUUUCAUUUCAUCACAUUAAAAAUUGCGCUUGAUUUGUAUUUAUUUACAAUAAAUCUUUCUAUUUCAUCACAAAUGGAACAAAUGUACGCUAUUCAAGUGUGGUACUCGCUAUUAUUAUUAAAAAGAUUUUUUAGAAAAAUAAAGCAAUAUUUUGCAUUUUGGAAAUUUGAGAACUUGUACCCUAACUUACUGGGUCUCGAUUUUCUCGUUAAACCCAAAUAGCAAAAUGUCCUUUUAAAUUUUAAACACAUAAAAUUUCAAAAAUAAAGGCAAUAUUCUAUAUUUAGAAAAUUCGAGAAAUCGUGCCCUAACUUACUGGGCUCCGAUUUUUCUCGUUGAUUCUAAGUAACUGAAUAUUCUUUUAAAAUUAAAAUAAAUGAGGUUUAAAUAAAAAGGGAAAAGGCAAACUUACUCUUGAGGUACGAGAUGUUGGGUCCUAACUUACUGGAUGUGACAUCUUGUUACUUCGAGAUAAGGAGGCAUUUUCCACUUUGGAUUUCCAAAAAUAAAAACAAUAUUCUGUAUUUAGAAAAUUCGAGAAAAUCGUGCCCUAACUUACUGAGCUUCGAUUUUUCUCGCGUUGAUCCUAAAUAACCAAAUAUCCUUUGAAAAUUAAAAUAAAUGAGGUUUAAAUAAAAAAUAAAAGGCAAGUUUACUCUAAAAAAUACGAGGUGUCGUGUCCUAACUUACUGAAUGUGACAUCUUGUUAAUUCGAGAUAAGGAGGCAUUUUUCAUUUUGAUUUAUUCGAGUGAUUUUUUAAGAUAACACAAUAUGAAGAGGGAUCGUAUUUUUAAAUUAUUUUCGAGUUUUUAAUUUUUGACACCAAGACAUUAAGUAAUCAACUAGGUACCAAUUUUUGGGCGUAUCGAGGGUGCUAAUCCUUCCUCGUGCGUAACCGACUCCCGAACCCGUUUUUCUGAAUUUCGUAGACCAAAAUCGUUGUUUUAAUAAAAAUUAAAUCGUUUAUUGAAAACAACCACUUUUCGGUGACCCGAUCACACCUCAUCAAAAAAGGAUUGGUGGCGACUCCUAUUUUCGUUUUUAUUUUUUUUAAAACCCAAGUCGACCCCGUUUUCAAUCAAAAAAUGGUGUCAACAUGAAAUAUAGGAAAAUCAAUAAUUGUGAGCUCAGAAUUUCCUCUUGGACAUUAUAUUCCCCUCUCUUCGAAUGAAUGAGAAUUUUUAUCAUUUGAAAGCACUUCUUAACUACAGUGUCAUCGAAUUACAAUUCCCAGAUCUAUUCAUAAGACAUUCGAUGGCUUCCAAACAAUCACUCUCCUAUAAUCUUUUAGCCUAGCAACUUCAAGCCCGUAAAGAAUAGUCUAUAAUUCAGCGUUGAAAAUAGAACAUCUACCCGAUUGUUUCCUAAAGCCUUCCUUCCAACUUCCCAAUGAGUUUCGUAUGACUUCUCCAGCUAUCUAUUAAUUAUCAAUUAUACUUGUAUACCCAUCAGUAUUCAUCUUCCCAACUAUGAUGACUUGUUAGAUCUUGAAUAAUGAAAAUCAUGGCCAGGCCAUGUUUUGUUUGUUGAUUGAUUUGUAUUAAUGUAACGUUUGGCCUUUUUCUUGAAUCGGUACUUUAACCUUUUCUAUUCGUUGUCGUGGGAAUGGAACUGGGCCAUGCUCUUUUAACCUUUGUGUGAUUCGAAUUUUUAUUUUAAGAACCGAGCGGCUAAUGAAAUGAUAUAUAUUCCGGCCAAUCCAAUCAUCCGUAAUUCUGAAUAAUAGUAAUUACAAUAGAUUUGAUGUUGGGUGCUCAAAAAAGCAGUUUGAUCUGCUCCAUCUUAUUCAAAGUAGGGACUCUUGUAAACGUACGGAUUAUAAGCGUUCCAUCAAGUGGGACCCAUUUCUUGACCAAAAUCACAUGGGGACACACCCAUACACCUUUUUAUGGACAAUUCUUAGUGGGUUUUCAAUCAUCUUUACUUUAUCCCACACAUGUGAUCUGCACUUUAUCGGGAUUCAAUUUACAAUACUAAAAAUAUAAUUUUAUUAUUUUAAUAAUUUAUAUUUUUAUAAUUUUUAAAAGAUUACAAAUUUUAUUAUUUUUAAAAGAGAUUGAAGUGUAUCUUAAUAUUUACUAAUUUAAAAUUUUAAAAAAUUUAAAUGAUAAUUUUUUUUUAUUUUAAGGGGGCUAAGUACUUGCGAACUCCUUAGCUACGCCCUGAAUAUAUACACUACUUAGUAUUCUUUUCUUUCUAUUUUGUUAUUGUUCUUUAUAUCUUAUUUUUUGUGAGUCAAAUUAAAAUUUAAUGAUAAAAGAAUGAAGUAUUAAACAAAUGUUUUAAAUAAAAAGAUUAAUUUAGUUUUUUUACUUAUUUUAAUUAUCCAAACAAAGGAAGUGUGCAUCAUUUUGUUUCUUCUAAAAUAUUUUUCUUUUUUUAUUAACUUCAAAAUUUUAGACGUAAAUUAAGGAUUUAUUAGAUGCAAAAAAUAUGAAUGUAAAAUAAAAGGAAUUUUUUUUCAAAAGAUAAAGAAAAUUUAUUAUUGAUUGAUUGUGAUGUUUGAAAACAGUACUGGAUUGGCCAACAUAAUGAUUCUCAAGGUAUCACUCAUUUGUCGAGUAGGGAAAAACUAGAGAUGAACAUUUCAUGGUAGACUCGAAUGCACUUUUGAUUAAGAAAAAGUAAAGAGAGCUUAAAGUCUUCAAUUAAUCACUAAAUUUAGGACAUUAAUACCUUUAUCUUAUCAUUAAAACAGCUUUAUUUCCAACACUUUUUUAUAUUAUUGUUUUUUUUUAAACUUGGUAGAUUUGUUUCUCCAUCACUCACAUAUUAAUUUUGUCAUGUUUAUAUAAAAAUAGUGAAUUAAAUAUAUAACAAAUAUGCUAGUCACUGAUGCAUUGUUGGUGGAAUUUUUUAAUUGAUGUUGAUGAUGUUUUUGUUGACAAAAAGCGAUAUUAAUUAGUAAAUCAAGUUGGAAAAAGCAAAUAAGGAUAAGACAAAAAGAGUGCCUAAACUCAAGUCAUCGGGCUUACUCAAUACAGACAUUAGUAAUAGUAGUAAUAAUGGAAUAACAGUUAGUAUAAUUGGUGUAGUUCGCUCUUAAUAAAAUUGUUCUUGCCAAGACAUAACUAACUUUAUUAACAUCCUUAUAAAUCUAACAAAAAAAAUACUAAAAAUCUAAGAUAAUACAGACACAACCUUUUAGUAACAAACUUGAAUCCAAAGCAUCCACUCCAUCAAGAUGAAACGCUUGCCAAAGCUUUUAACUAUUACUCUCUAUUACAAUAUUUAUCUAAAUGUAAAGACUUGAGUCAGGAACAUGUUUAUCAGCCAAAACAUGUCUCCUUCUGUCUUCUUUUUUAUCAGCCAAAGUCUUAUGAACAAGUUUAUUAAUCGACAUAGCACUUGGUAUAAAACCUAGUUGCUGCCACACAACAAGCGUGAAAGGACAAUGUAUCAAAAUGUGAUUGAAAUCCUCAUUAGCUUGACGACAUCUCGGACAAAGAGGAUAAAUAUUCACCCCACAAGUCAAAAGCUCACUAAUACAAGACACAAAAUCACACAAUAGUCUUUAUAAAAAAAUUUAAAUUUUUUAUGGAAGAACCUCAUUCCAAAAGGAUUGACAUGAACAAACGGAGAGUCACUCAACAACCCAGUAAUUUCUUGAUCCUACUUAAAUUUAAUACCUCAUUUUCAAUAUACAAAAUAACAAUUACAUUGCUAUAUUAUGACUCAAUAUUAAAUUUUAAUAUAUAUAUAUAUAUAUAUAUUCCACUUUUUUGGAUAAAAAUUAAAAAUGAAUCAAAUAAUUCAUAUUAAAUUAUGACACAUGAAUUGAUAUGGUAAAGUUAAUUUAAUAAAGAUUAUAACGUUUUGGGUAGAUUUUUUAAAAUGCAAAAAAUACAUAAAAUUUUUUAAAAUAAUAUUUACAACUAAAUUAAAAUUUAAUUAAAUACAUUAUAAGAAAACAAAUUAAUAAAGGAGGUCAUCAUCUAAAAAAGAAGUGAAGAAUGAGAACAUUUAAAGGGUGGGAUUCCUUGAAACUUGAAAUACAACUCCUUAGAUAAGUACACCGUUUGAGAUAAGCUCAUAUUUACGUAAAUAAGUAGAUCUUUCUAUUUCUAAAUAAAAUUUCAACCAACAAAAAAAAAGAAAACCAUUAUUGGCAAAUUGGAAAGGGAUAAGACAAUAAAUCAAAUCAAAUCAAGAAAAGUUAGGUUUUUGGGUGCAAAUCUUGAAGCUCACGUUGCUUUAGUGGGGCACAAGAAAUCAAUCAACCAAAGCUACUUGCAUUAAAAGUUUGUAGUAGUGGUAGUGGAAUUCCCCAUAAAAUGUUAGGUAUGCUUGUAUAAACAGUGACCUCAUUUAUAAUUAGAAGCAUUUUUUUAAACAAAAAUAUGAAUAUAUUGAUCAACUUUUUUUUAAUUUUUAAAUAAGGAAAUAAUAUGUUUUAGCGCAAUUGAAUUUACGUUUUCUUAUAUUGAUAAUAAUAUCGAUGUUAAUCGAAUUAAUGUUCAAUCGACAUAAAAAAACAUUUUCUAUAACAAUAUAUGAAUUUUUAUAUUUUAUUUUACUUUCAUAAUGAGAUCUUUUAUUAUUUCUUUUUAUUUACAACAACUAUAAAUUAUAAAAUACUUCUUUUUUUUAAAUUUUAGUGAAAUCAAUUAUAUUUAUAAGUGAAAUAAAAAUAAUAAAUUUAAGUUAAGAUAUUAUAUCACAAUAAUAUUUUAAACUUAUAUUGAAAAUUUACUAAUUGUAUUUUACUAAUGAAGACAAUAUUUAAUGAACGGGAUUAUAUUAAUAAAUUUUAUUAAAAAUAUAAUUUAAAUAUCGAUAUUUAAUAAUAAUAUUAACAUAUUAUACUUUUUUUUAAAGUUGAAAAUUGUAAAAAAUUGCCAAAUACAGUAUAAAUCUCAUAUGUUAAUGUUAUUAUAAUAAAUAUACAACAAUCACCUUUCAAUAUGAGCUAAAAUAUUGACAAACAAAUAGAAUAAUUUUCAAAGGGGUAGAUAACCCUGAUCCCCCUAAAAUGAAAAUUUUCACAUUUAAUCUUUUUAAAAAAAUUAAAUUAAUGUAUAGUAAAAUUACAUUUUAACCACAUCAAAAAUGAGAAAUUUUAUUUAAUCUUUUAAAAACAAUAAAGAUAUAAGCUAUUAAAAUGAUGAAAUUUUACUUUUACUAUCACAAAAAUGUACAAUUUAAUUUUGAUCCCUUAAAAGAAUCUCUGAGUCACUUUUGAAAUAGUUACUGUUUAAGCAAACCAUUUUAUUAUUGAUGUAGAUGUGAGAAAAAUAAUCAUAUUAGUGGGAAGCUUAGUUCAACAUAUUUUAGGAUAUUAUUCCCAACUUAAUUUUAGCGCUUUCCACUACUUAUUGUCUUAUUUUGAUGAUAAACUUUCUAACAUUUAAAACCUGUUGUCUUAUCGGGAUGUCUCUUUGAUGUUCUUUAGCAUGUCUGUCAAUAUAGGAUGAUCUUUUAUUUAUCUUCAUGCAUUUUAUCAUAUUUAUAGUUGUGUUUUUUUCUUGAUUUAUUUAUCGGAAAUUGAGAAUUCAUACAUGAUUUACAUAAAAAGAAGCUUAAAUAUAAUAUUUCAAAAUUCUAAAACUUCAACUUUAUUGAACUGGUACCCGUAUUGUAUUUUUUAAGUAUAAUGUCAAAUUUAUUUUUUAAUGUUUACAUUAUUCUACUUUUGAGCUAAAUUUGACCAUUAAUUAUUCAAAGAGAGUCAGAUGGUAGUCCAUGUAUAUUUUAUACUAACAUGAAAUUGUUUUAUAAAAUAUUCAAAAAAUAAAAUUUUAAAAUUUUAAAAAUUCAAUAAAAUUGACAUAAAGUACACAUAGAGUGCCAUGUCUAAAAAAUUAAUAUUUUAGUUUACAUUUCCAUUUAAAAAUAAUAAUUUAACUCUUUUUAAAAGGUUUAUGGUCAAAUUGACUCGUAUUAAAAGGGUGAGGGUCAAUUUUAUCUAUAAAAAAGGAGUCAAAUUGAUAAAAAUGUAAAUACUAAUGACUAAAUUUGUUAUUAUACCUAUUUUUAAAGAAAAUUUGCUGAGAUUAUUUUUCUAGCCCAUUCUAAUUGGGCCUGCUAAGUUAACGUGUGUGUAUAACGACACGUGCAAAGGCCAAUUCAUAUCGACGACCUAAAAUUUGAAAAGCACUUUCCCUCUCAAAAACUCCCCAACAUGAGGUGAUUAGACAGGAAAAACGAAAGCCUACCUAGUGUUCGUGAAAUGCUAACUAGAAAUUCCGUUCCUAGAACCCCACAAGCCACUGCCAUGCGCAGAUCUGCAAGGCUUCUCAACCAAAACACUCCCUUUAAGUCAAAGGUCAAUUCCAAGGACAGUACUGCUAGCUCUACAGUUAAACUUUCCAAGAAACCCAUACACUCAAAUCAUGGUUCCACAAAUCAUAUAAGGUCAACGCCUCAGUUGCGAAGGUCUCAAAGAACGAGCACUGUUUCAAGUGAGAUAUCAAGAAAUUGUGCAAACUCAACGCCUGGGUUGCGAAAAUCUCCAAGAUUGAGCAGUGGGUCUUUGUCUAACAAGCCCGAGGGUAGCAAAUUUGUCGAGACAAAGAAUGAUGGAUCUAAGAAGAACGAGAGUAUAAAGGAGGGAUCGUUGGAUGAAAAGGAAAGGGAAGCUUCUGUUGGAUUGAAAGUGACUACAGUGGACAGGAAAGAAAGUGAAAGAAGAGAAGUUCGUGAAAGAAAUGAAGUUGUUGGAGUUAAGAGAAAGAGAAAGUGGAAGCCUGACAAUAGAGGGGAUACAGUUCUUCAAGGGUGGACAAGGGAGCAAGAAUUGGCUCUGCAAAGAGCCUAUUUUUCAGCCAAGCCAACGCCUAAUUUUUGGAAGAAAGUUUCAAAGCUGGUAUAUUUUCCAUUCCUUUGAUAUCUGGGUUUAAAUUUCAUGGAUUUUUUUUCUUAUCAUAAUGGUAUAGAUUUGAUGUGCUUAUUUUGUGGUUUUUCAAAUUCAAGCUAAAGCCUAUGGAUAUCUAUGCCGUGUUUGUCCAAGACAUAUGAUUCAGCUUAUAUGUUUUAUGUGUUUCCUAGUUGCUGAAAACCUGAAUAUUACUUAAUCAUUCAUGAAAAUGAAUGUUAUUAGGAACUUGGGAUGUUUCUGAUUUUGCUAUGUCUCACACAUGAUUCAGCUUAUAGUACCACUACCAGCCUAGUUACAACUAGAGCUUUGAACAAGGGGGGCUUGUGGGAUUAGUCAUCAUGAAAACAACAAUUUUUUAACAAAUGAAGGAAAAUUAAUUAUAGAUUUACAGCAUUAAACCUUGUGAAACUAGACUAGUGAGUUAUACUGCAUUCAGUUUUGUUAGAUGUGAAUGCUGUGCAUUUCGCUAUUAGUUGUGUUUAGAUGUGUAUGACUAUUCAUGAUUUACUCUUAUGUGAAGAUUUUCUGCUGUUUGUUUCGGUGUCAAAUACGGCCUUGCAUUUGCUCUGAUCAUUUAACUCCGACUCUAUCUCAGGUGCCAGGAAAAUCUGCCCAGGAUUGCUUUGAUAGAAUCCAUUCCAACCAUUUAACUCCAACUCAGCCUGAGCCUCGAUCGAGGGCAAAUGUAACAAACUUGUCGCCUAUCGAACAUUUGUCAUUCUCCGCAAGCAAAUUACUAGAGUCCUCUGCACCAAGGAAUAAAAGCUCAGGCCGCGGUAAACAGAAAAGCUUUCUCGUACAGAAAAAGACAGUGAGACAUUUGUUGCGAAAGCAUCAUCUUGUGGACGAAUGUGAUGAAGCGGAUCUGUUCUCCAUUCUUGAGCCCAACACAAGUCCAACCAUGCAUGGUGUACCGAAAGUUAUGGUUUGUACCCCGAAAAAAUUAUUGGAAAAACAGGGAUUUGUCCACAAGUGUCAUGAGAGAUCUUCUUUGGGUCGUAAGAAGCACCAUUCGAGACUUGGUAACUCAGGUACUGGAGCCCUUGUUAGUCCCCCAGUGUUGAAGCAGAUUAAAAAUAAGGCUUUACAUGAGAAGUACAUCGACCAGCUACAUACCCGGGAGGCUAAGAGAAAAGCUGAACGUACACAAGUUGAAAAAGCAGUACUUGGAAAGGAGAACAGAGGAUAUGUUCAAAUCCAAGUAGACAAGGUUAAAGCAGCAAAAAAUGCAUUAGUUUCUGAUGCAAGAUAUGUUAUUAACCAGAUGCAACAACUGCAGACCACUAGUGUUGACAACUCUUCGGAGUUGGAUGACAUCGAUGAUGAUGACGACGAUGAUGUUAAGCUAUAACAUUUUGAUUUUUAUUUUGUAUGAUAAUCUGCUAUAACUAGAAUGCUAAUUGUGUCAUAUGUUGUUUAAUGAACUUGUAGUUUAGCAAAUUGGAACAUAGUAAUUUAUUUCCUCAUUCAAGUAAUAAAAAGGAGGAGGUUGAUUUCAAGUUGUAAACUUUUAGGUUAAUAUAUUUAUAACCAUGUAAGUCUCAGUGAGUAUUGGUCUAUGGAUUUGAUAUUUGGAGAACCAUGGUUUAUAUCUAUGUUGAAAUAUAUUAGAAAUAUAUAAGCAUCGAACAUCAAUAAUUUUUGGAAAGUGGUAUUGUCUGCUCAUUUGCUUUGAUUUGAUUCAACCAUGGAACUUGUGUUAAGUAGGAUCCUGGGGAUCGACGAAAAGUACAAUGCAUGGGAACACAUGGAAAUACCCGUGAUGAAAUUGGGUCCUACUUCAAGGACAACUCUUAUUUAACAGAAUCUUUCAAUCAUGAAAUCGGAAGAUCGAUCCUUAUUUACGGGAUGAUUAGCUGUUUAUCUCUUUAAAAAACAUCUGCUAAACGAUCUAUGUAAUACCCCCAAUUCGUAUCCCUCGUCUGUACCGGGUUACGGAACAUUACCGGAAUUUACAGAUCAAGCAGACAAAAAUCUCAAACAUUUUAUAUCAUUGAAACAAGUCAUCAAAGCAUCAUUUUAAUCUAAAUUAUAAACUCUCCAAAAUUAAUCUUAUAAUUUCAUUUACAAUCAAACCAUAAAAUAACUAUUAUUUAGACACUCUAAGUACAUGCCGACACAAAGAAAUAAACAUCACUAUAUUUGAGUUCGGGAUUGUUGUUGGAUGCUGAAUCAACGAUCAAAUUUAAGUACUUAACCUGCGCACGGAAAACAAAAUCGUACGCUGAGUAAAAACUCAGUGGUAUUUCUAUAAUCCGAAUUUUAAAAAAAAUAAAACAAUAAAAUAUAUAAUAAAAUGUUAAGCACAAUUAAACAUUUAAAAUCACACAAUACUCAAUUUUCAUCACUCAAUUUUCAUCACUUGCUUUAUAUAAUACGUUUCCAUAAUUUAUUUAGGUAUCAUUUAAACAAUGACACUAUCCAUUCCACAAUCAAUUUAUGAAUAUAUAACUCGUGUAUUCCAUCUAUUUACAACAUGUUUCACAUUCUAUUUUCAGUCUACUAUCUCAUAUUCUUAGCCCAAAGUAGAUUUUAUAGAACACACCGGAUAUAUAGAACAAAUACAGAAGUGCAUUGUUAUGCACUAAUGAACAAAGAGCACUAAAGUGCUAAACAGAUAGCACAGAUGUACUAAACGGAGAGCACCAUCGUGCUAAUAAUCAGAGAGCACCAACGUGCUAAUAAUCAGAGAGCAUUGGCGUACUAAUAAUCAGAGAGCAAUGACAUGCUAAUAAUCAGAAAGCGCGCUAAAGUUUCUUAAUGGCAUGCCACUAAUAUCCUAGUAGUUCUAAAUUCCGUCUACUUGGGCAUUAAAACUGAAUUUUAUACAUAUAAAAAAUAAUUCAAUUAUCAUAUUUGCACAAUUUCACAUUUACACAUAUAUAUUUAUAAUAUAUAUUCCAAUUCAAUUCAACCAAUAUAAUUUCAUCAUAUAUCAAGACAAUCCAUUUCAAUUGUAAAACACAAUAAUUCUCACCUCAAUCACUUACUAUAACAUUUAAUCAAAAUGCAACAAUUAAUAAUUAGAUUCGGAUUAUAGAAAUACACAAAUCAGGAAUUCUGAGCUAUUCCUCAUCAACUAUAUUUUUCCCCUUUUUAGUCAAGAAUUUCGGUACAACGCUAGCUGCGGAAUUUAAACAAUUAAAAAUCAUCAAUACAACAUCAUUUAAUCUCACAUUAAAUGUAAUGGCCCAAAUUCAAAGUUAUCGGAAUAGUGGUUUCGUAACCACAAAUCCGAUUUAAAGAUAAAUUUAUUUUAAUAUUUUUGCAUGAAUAUUGGUAUGAUAGGAGAAUCGUAUAAAAAUAUCGAUAGAAAAAAUUUACCGAUUUAGUGGUUAGUUAGAAAAAGAAAUUAUAGAAGAAAUUGCAUAAAAAUAAGGUAUCGAGACUUCGAUCUCAUAAAACCGAGUCAAAAAUAUUUUUAUAAAUAUUUAUGAAGUGUUAAUAAUAUGAUAUUAAAAUUUCGUUAGAAAAUUUUAAUAUUUGGGUAGUCAAUUAAGUGAAAAGGACUAAAUUGAAAAAGGUGUAAAAGUUACUAGAAGGAUUAAAUAGCUCAAUUGUUAAAUGAAUAGGGACAUAAAUUGAAGAUAACACCAAAAGGAGAUAUUUUGGGCGGCAUACGCUGAGAAAAAUCAGGAGAAUUGAAGAAUUAAGGGUAAAAUUAGAAUAUUGCAAAAUUUGUUUUAAAAGUUAGGACUAAAGUGGCAUUAUCUAGAUUCCUCUUUAUUUUUCUGCAUUCCCAUCAGCCAAAAACGUCCUAAGGGUUUCUUCAAGCUGGUUUUUCAUAAUUUUUGCCCCAAGUGAGUUAAUUCUUGCCUUUUUCUUGUAAUUUUUGUGUUUCUAAGACUUUUACAACUAGGUCCUANNNNNNNNNNNNNNNNNNNNNNNNNNNNNNNNNNNNNNNNNNNNNNNNNNNNNNNNNNNNNNNNNNNNNNNNNNNNNNNNNNNNNNNNNNNNNNNNNNNNAAUAUGUGCUGGAAUUUUAUGAUGAAAUAGGAUGAAAUUGAAGCUUUAAUUUGUUUGUGAGAUGAUUUUAUUAGGUAAUUUCAAUAGAAAUUGAUUUGUAGGACCUAAUUGUGAAAAUGUUUGGAAUCAAAGUCUAGUGCUGAAAUUCUGAUUUACAAAGGUUAUAAAGUAGUCUAAAGUGAUGGGAUAAAGUGUUAAUUGAGAAAAAUCAGCUCAAUUGAGAGGUUAAUUGAGCAAGGAUGAAAUUAUCAUUUAUUGAAAGUUUAGGGAAAAAUGGUAAUUAACAUCAUACACUAAAACAGUUUUGGACAGCAGCAGUACUCUAACUUUGAAAAUUCACCAAAAAUUGUAGAGAUCGAAUUAGAGGAUGAAUAAAAUAUGAAAUUAAAUCUUAUUGAGCCUAGUUUCUCAUAGAAGAAAUGGUUUAAUCAAUGGAAUUAUAAAUCAUGAGAUAUAAUAGAUUUUGUGAGACAAAGUCAGAAUGAAUUCGGGUUCUCCUGUUCUGACUUUGGAAAAUCAUUAAAAAUUUUAAAAAAAUGAUUAUGAGUUAUAAUUUUUAUAGUUAGAAUCCUUAAUGAGUCUAUUUUUAGAAGAAACAAACGGAAACAUCAUCCGAAUUCUGUACAGUGAGAUAAUUAAUUUUUAGUGAAGAGGGAUCAGAACUGUCAAACAAUGAAAAAGGGGAAAUUUUAAAGAAUAAACUGUACUUAUUGGCUACACCAAAAAUUCUGAAACUUUUAUGGUAAGAAGAUAUGUGAGUUUAGUUUCAGGGAAAAUUAACGGAUCUUACUUUGGAGUUCUGUAGCUUAAGAUAUAAAUAAUUUAGUGACUGUGACUCAGUGAGACAGCUUUGAAUGCACUAUAAAUAAUAAUGGAAUUUUAGAGAAUGUUACAUAUGAACAUGAAAUGUAUUAGAUUAAUGAUCAAAUUUAUUUAUUUAGAUCCGAAAAAUUCAAAUACGAAGCAAUAUCGAGGGAAAGAAAAAGUUUGGGAUUAGUAGAUUUUUGGUUACGAACAAGUGUCAAGGUAAGUUCGUGUAACUUGAAUUAUAUUCUUAAAUGCUUGAAAUGUUUGUUAUUGAUGUGAAAAUGAGUUGGAUGUUUAUUGUAUGAUAGUUGAUGAAGUAUUGAUAUUCUUGAUGAAAAGAGGAAAUAAAUCCCGGUUGAAUGAAAGGAAAAAUUCGAUGGAUCUCUGAAAAAGGAAUUGACGGUAAAAAUGAUCUAGCCUGGAUGUGUGAUCCUAUCCUGAUAUAGCCCUCCCGAAGAAUAUGUGGAAAAUGGAUUUAGCCCGGACGGUUAAUCCGAAUAGGGUCUGAAUUUAGCCUGGACUGGUAAUUCAGAUCCAAGCUCAUUAGAGUAAUUGUCGUUGCAGGGGAUUUAGCCUGGAUUGGUAAUCCCGACAAUACUCUAUGAGUUUAUAUUACAGGGGAUUUAGCCUGGACUGGUAAUCCCGCUGUAAGGAUGAGGUUCGCGGAAGUGUGCUCUCUGAAAUGGAAAUGUGCGCACAUGAAUAUGAAUUGACAGACCCGGAUUUGUACACUUAGGUGUACCUCUGAAAAUCCAUCGAAAUUUUGAGAAAUUCAACGGGAUAAAUAUGGAAAAAAAAAUAACAAGGAAAUAGAAAUCAUAGAAUUGAUGAGCUCAUCAAUCAUGAUAUAUAUAUUAUUGAUACAUGGAAAUUAUUGAACUAACUUGAAUGUUGAGUUUGUGCAUGAUAGAGGAAUAAUGUGUUGAAUGGAUGUAUGAAUGUUUAUUGCAUUGUAUUAAAAAUAUUAGGUAAGUAUAAUUCUUGUUACAUGAGCUUACUAAGCACAAAGUGCUUACCCUGUUUCCUUUUCCCCUGUUUUGUAGUGUUAAGAGCUCGGAGGUCGGAUUUGGUCGGAGAAGCAUCACACUAUCAACGUCAAGAUCUCGGUACAUAAAGAAACUUAUUUUGGAAAUCAAUGGCAUGUAUAAGCUAGUAAAGUAGAUGUUAUUGUGGAAUGAAUGUAUGGUUAGCCAUUAGUAUGGCUAACAAAUUUUGGUUUUGGCAUGUGAUGAGAUUAUCUUAUGAAUACAAUAAAUCUAUCUUGAAAAUAUGUUGAAAUGGAUUGGUUGUGUUGGCUUGGUCUCGGUUUAAAAUUUGCAGGGAGGAUUAGAUAUUUAUAAAGGGGUUAUAUUGAGUUUUAAAAAAAAUCAGUAAAAUCUGGUAAUACCUCGUAUCCUAUUCCGGCGACGGAUACGGGUAAGGGGUGUUACAUUAAAUAUUUCAAUUUUUACUCAAUAUUUGCUUAAAUUCUAAUUUAGUCCCUGAAUUGAGACUAACUUUUAUUCUCAAAACUAAUUUCAUAUUUUCAUUUCAUUCCCACUUUAAACUAAUUUAAUUCUCUAAUUUCACCAUAAAUCCCUAAUUUUGAAAUUCUCUCAAUUUAGUCCCUAGUAUUCAAAACUUAUGAUUUAUUUUACAAAUCAACCCUUUACUAACUUGUAACUUGAAAUUCAAUCAAUUUAACCCCUAAUUCAUCAAUUAAUUCAACAUGAACAACAUCAAAAAAUUUACUAACUUUCAAAAUUUCAACUUAAAUAAAGUAGUAUUUUAUUCUAGGAUUCCAAAAACUCAAAAAUUACAAGAAUAGGAACUAAAUUGACUUACCAAUCAAACCUUGAACCUUGAAAUCCCAAGUUUUCUUUCUUUCCUUCCCCUUUUCUUUUUCUUUCCUUUCUCCCCUGUUUUCGUUUUGCUUCUCUGUUUCUUUCAUUCUUUUCUAUUUGUUUUAUUAUAAUAAUAAUAAUAAUAAUAAUAAUAAUAAUAAUAUAAUAUUUUAAUCUAAAAUAUCUUAUACUUAAAUAAUAAGUAAAUUAUACAUAUUAUUACAAUUGUAUGUAUAUAUUUUUAUUACACAUGUAUUUUAUUAUUACCACACAAGUGUCACAUUUUUAGUUUAUUUAUUAAUUUAGUCCCUUGAUUUUUUUCUAUUUCAUAAUUAAACUUUCACAAUCAAUUUAAUUAAGUUCUUUUAUCUAAUUAACCUUAAUUAAGUCAAACUCACCUAAUCAAAACUUAAUUAACUACACAACUAGCUUCGUAAAUAUUUACGAAUCCGAUUCACCGGGACGGAGUCCCGGGAAUGCAUUUUUUAAAAAAAAAAUCACAUUUGAGUUGUAAAUAUUAAAUAAUAAUAUUUACGAACUUACUCGUCGUAUUUAGUGACCUUGAACCACUAUUUCCGACAUCACUGGAAAUCGGGUAUUACAAUGUAUACCAAUGCUUUUCAACUAACAAAGUGACUACUAUUGGGAUGGCAACUUUACGGGAAACAAAACUGCUAUUAAAUUACAUGUUGAACAACAAAUUUGGAGGUACUGCCUUGUUCAAAUAUUUAAUUUCUUGGAAUGGAAAACAAGAAUUAACUGUGAAUGUGAAAUGAGCACAAUCUCCUACUUAUUUCUAUAUUUCAAGGAUGCCAUAAUAUAUAUGAUUUAAGAAAGUUAAUAUUUGAAAAUAUAUGAAAGUACUGUUGUUUGUGUGUAAUUCAGCUUUUAACAACUUUAGCUUUGGUUUUUAAUUUCCUUUUAAUCAAACUUAGUAUAUGAUUGUGGUUUGAAUUUUAAGGUAUAAUAUUUUUUACUUUAAAAAUGAAUAGUGUAGAUAUUACAUUAAAUUAGCCUAGCAAUUAGAAACAAAAAAAGAGAGUAAAUUAACAACCUUUGAAUUAAGUAUAAAUCAUUAAUAAAUAUGUAUUUAGAUUUCACAAUAAUAUAUAUAAACAAAUAUAUCGUGUUAGAAUCCAAAGCACAUCGGAAAUGAGUGAGGGAAGUUCUGUGAAAAAAUAGUCCUAAUUAUUUUAAUUAAUUAAAAUUAAAUCCCUUAAUCACAUGAUUAUUGUCCUUACUAUUCAAUUCUUACAUUUGAUUACAAUUUAAUAAAAUAUAUUUUUAUUUAAAUUUAGUUAUAAAAAUAUUACAAACAUAAAUUUUUAAUAUCUUAAAAUUAUAGUAAUAUAAAAUACACACUGAUCUACCCUCAAUCAUAUGAUAUAUUAUAUAUAUGUUGAGAAAUACAUAAGAAGCUUAGCAUCGCCAAAUUCAAACCUAAAUCAAAGAAGAAAGCAAUGUCGGAAAUGGGGAGAGAUCUGAGUCGCCGGCGGCAAUCAUCUUAUUUUUCCGGCUGUUAUACGAUGUCUCCCUCAUGCUUACCGGGGAAGGAAGAAAUGGAGUACUCACGCAUCCAUGAGUGCGGCAGCAGUGGCAGUGAGAAGAGAAGGCAGAGAUGGAGAAAUCUGCUGAGGAGAUUGGUAAAAGAUGGGAAAAGUAGCAUUUAUGGAUCCUCAAAGCCACUGUCUUUUCACUAUGAUGCUGUUAGCUAUUCCCAGAAUUUCGAUGAAGGUUUUCAUCAUCAACAAUCAAUAUUUCAAGACGUUAGAUCAUGAUAAAUUUGUGCUUAUUUAUGUUUCUUUUUUCUGGUUUUGCUAUCAAUUUUGAUGUAAUUGUAAUGUUAUAUCAAGAUAUGUUGUUUUAGUUUCUUUUUUCACUGUGAAAAAUAGAACUAAUAUGAAGUGGAUCUGGAAAAACAACUCUUUUGAACUCCAUGAUAAAGACCAAUGAACUGGGAUGGAUAACUCCUUAACAAAAAUGAUUGAUGAGUGGCAGCACCAAUUUUGUAUCCCCCAAAAACAGCUUUAUCAGUUAAUAAUGGUGACGGAAUAAUUGAAGGGAAACCAGGGCGAAACUAGAAUUUUUUUAAAUUCGAAUUUGAAUUAUAAAUUUUUAUAAUUUUGUUAUUGUAUUAAUGUAUAUUUUUUUAUUUUUAAGGGAUUUAAUUAUAAAUUUUGUGUUUUUGGAGAGGAUAUGACCUAAUUUUAAAUUUUAGGAGAGAUUUAAAUUAACUUGAAAAUACUCAAAAGAAUUAAAGAAACAAUUUGUUUUUUUGGAGCCAGUCCCUCUAGCUUCGUCCCUCGUCGAAGGAACCCACACCGUGCAAGUUCACCAUCAUUGUUGAAUGCAUGAAAUUGAAACCUUAAAACCAUUUAUGAUUCAUGAAAAAAAUUUAUGCUCACAUGGAGAAAGAAAGUGGAUCAAUAUAUUCUUUGCUAUUUGAAUUUGGCUUCAAUAUUUAAUUUAGUAUUAAUCUUUUAGUUUUUUUAAAAUAAUAUGAAAAAAAAUAUUUAUUAGAAUAAUAUAGAAAAUAUUUAAAUUACACUGUGCAUAGGAACUCUAAAUUGGCAUAUAUAGCGGUUAACAAUAUGGGGUGACUAUGAGGCAAUGAUUGUGUUAAAAAUAUUUGGAAUUUUUUAUAUUUUAAAAAUAGUUUUUAUUUUUUGGAUUUUAAACUGUUUAAUUUUCUUAUAAAUUUUUAUUUUUAAAAAAAUAAGAUUUUUAUUUAAAAAUAUAAUCUUUAUGUUUUAUGUUUUUAUUUAAAAUAUGAAAAAAAUAUUUUUUAAAUUUAUUAAAAUAUUUUAUGUACUUUUAAAGGGUGAAGAUCAAAUUAACAAAAAUUAUUUUACUUUGGACAUCAUUAACUUUAGCGAUAAAAAAAGAUGAAGGGAUCAAAAUUUUUAAAUAAAAAGAAUAUAAAGAGAUUAAAAGUAUAAUAACUAAAUUUUAAAUUUUAAAAAUGUAUAUUUAAACUUAUAAAUUACACACAACAAAUGAUGCAUCAAAUACAAAUCCGAAUAAUGAAACAACAUAUUAAGUGGAUUAAAAUGACAUACAAAUAUUUAAAAAAAAAAUGCAAAGACUUAAUUUAAACUUGCAGCCAUACCAUAUGAAAUUUAAAUUGUAAAUUAUUAUUUGUACUAUUUAGGAGUUCAAGCUCAUUUAAAUUUUUUUUUUGUCUAAAAUAGAUAUUACUAGGAAUAUGAGCUCGCCUUGCGAGAUUUGAUUUUUAAUAAUUUUAUAUAUAUAAGGCAUUUUGUGAUAAGGAUAAAUAUUUUACAAUUUAAAACUUUUAAUGAGUUAUAUGAUUUACAUAGAUAGAAGGUAUUCAUUUGCAAAACAAUUAAUUAAAUUAUAACAAUAUUUAUAUUAAUUUAUUAAUAUUUUAUAAUAUUUAAAAUUAACUUAAAAUGAGAUAAAAAAAGUUUUCAUUUGUCUUGUAAUCACCUCAAAUCAUCAACCACCAUACCGAUAAAUAAAUUUUAUUCUAUAUGGUUUUGAAAAAAAACUCAAAUCUCUUGUCCUACUUACUAUAAUCAAUUUAGUACUUAAAAUUUAUUUUUGUCCCCUAAUACCUAAUUUCAAGUUAGUUAGACCCCUCCACUAAUGCUUAACAUGAUAUCGUGUUUCAUGUAUAAAUUUCUAGCAAAUUAGAAAUUUGAUGAUGAGUCUUGUUGCUCCAUAUUUAAAGCUUCAAUGUUCAUCUUGUCCUAAAUGAUAUUGCAUUUCAAUGUUUUGCAAUUUGUAGAAGAGAGAUAGAAAGUACAAUGUAGUGGCAACAUCUCAAGACAAGUGCCAUUCAUGUUACUUGACUACUUGUGAGUGAAGAAGCAAAGAGAGCCUGCAUCUCAUUGACAAUGAUACUUUCGUGUAAACAGCAUAUUGUAAUUAAUAUUUUGCGUCCUGGUUCUCCAAUAAAUUAUAGUGGUUCUAUUAUAAAUAAUGCCACAAUCAAUUUCAGAUUCGUCAUUCUACUGACGAUCUUUUAUGUAGAUAUCUUCACAGACAUGGGUUUUGCUGGGGAUGAACUGAAGUAACAUGUCUCUUAACUCAUCACUGCAUUCUUUCUUGUUAUCCUGCAGUUUCAUGGAAUGGAAUAUACUUGGAUAUUAAAAGCAAGAUAGCAAAGGUAUCAAAUUGAUAUAGAAACCCUUUUUUACCUUCAAUCCUUAUAUCUCUCAGGUUGGCUUAGUUGAAGAUGAAUAGGGACAUUUGAACCCUCUCCACUGUCAAAUACAUAUGAACUCACAGCAUUUCCAUUUUCAUACCUUGUUCCAUAAACCUGAUUCGAUUAACUCAACUGGAGUUAUGCUAAUUUCAUAUUAUGGAGUUGUUUGUAUCCAUCAAUAAAAUGAACUACCUUCUUGUGUAAUUCCAUGUUUUCUUUGCGGAUAAGGUUUACCUUCUUGAAGAGUUCCACAUUCUCCUGGUGAAUAAGGUUCCCCUGAAAGAAGGCGAAAAAGCAUUCUAUUGAGUGUUUCUAUUUGGAACAACAAAUGUAAAUAAAACUCAGCUAGUGUGUUCUUUUUGAAUGACCCUUCGGUUUAAUUCUUCUAUUUCAUUGGUUAAUAUCCGUUCCUGCAAAAAAGUUAAAAAUUAAGCACGUCAAGUUUACUACCAUACAAUUAUUAUUAUUAUGCCUAAAAAUUGCAUAAAUAGUGGUGUUAAGACCUUUUUCAUGCGAACACCUUUCAAGCUCAUCUCCAGUUGGUUCUCUAGAUUCUGCAGGUCUUCAACUCUCAAACCAUAAAGCUGUUCACCCAUGAGUUGCCUGACGUAUCAGAUUUUAGGCGUUGGUCAAUCACCAUGUCUUCUCAUAUAUGAUUUCACAUCCUACAUACAUGUAUUCCUAUACAUGCGUCUUUAUUUGUGCAUGUAUAAGUUUGGUCUACAAUUCCGGUUGCCUACUGAUGCAGCUUUUUUUUCUAAAUAUUAGGGAAUUUUAAGGUCAGAGAGAAGGACAUACCGAUGGUUGUCCUGCAAAUUCUGCAGUUGUUGUUUCAAGAUUGCAGCCUCUCUUUGCCAAAACUGUCAGAAAAUCUUAAGUUCAUUUAGAACAUAAAAGCAUCUUUUUUUCUUAAUUCUUACAGGGAAUUAAGCAAAUUGCUUUCACCAUAACAUAACGUUUAUUUAGCUUUUAUAGACUCUUCACAUCAUUUAAUCCAAAUUUUUGUUAUUCAAGCAAUAUUUGUCAAACAGACUCCUAUGAAUUAUUUAUGAUAUAUUUGGGUACGAGAGAAAAGGAUAAUCCUCCAAGUCAUUAGAACAAUUGCUGCAGUAUUUGGCAUUGUCAAGGUUAGACUGCCAUUAGAACAAGAUUCCAUGUAUAUUUUCUUUCAGAAUCUUCAAGCAUAUAGAUGUUGUGUUAUAUUAUGUGUGUGUAUGGGAAAAAGGUGGUAGAGAAGGGUACCUUGACUUCUGAUGAUGGAUUCGACAACUGUUGGUGUUCCUCUUUCAAGGUGUUGUAUCUUUCAAUAACUGAUUUCAUGCUGACAUAUAUAUAUAUACAAAGGUAUACUCAGUCUUAGUGUAAAUACUAUUUUUUAGUUGUCUUUUUAACAUUUAUUCACAUAGAUAUCAUUUGUUGUAAGUGUCAACUUAUAGCAUAUUUUGAAAUGAUUUAGAGAAAUCAUGGUGGCAAUACGAAAUAAAAAUAAAUUUAUGAACAAAUUGAAACAGUCAGUUUUAGAUUUCAUGAAUUCAUUUUUAAUAUAUUUAUUAUUAUCAUUUAUAUUUGUAAGAACCACUCGUAAAUGUAUUAAGUGUUGGCAUAAAUAACUUCAUUUGUUGUAAACCACGUGCAUAUGGGAAAUGCAAAAUUCACAGGUUAUUGCACAUGAAUUCUUGACCUACCUAGUGGCAUAAGAUUCUUCUAACGUCAUGACAAGAGAUACUCAAAAAAUACAACUUGGGGAAAUAUAAAACAAUGUUUAUGUGCAUGAUUUAUUGGUUGCAAAUGCUUGAUUCUUUUCGAUAUGAACCUUCCCUUUUUCAGAACAUUUGAGGUUAUCUGAAUGAAUGGCUGAUAUCUCAUAGAUUACUUCAUAUGGAAAUCUACGUUAACAAAUGCUAAAGUGAAAUACAACAUUAAUUAUAUAUAGAUAUAAGUUGGGUUUUCUUUUUUAUGAUUUGAAUAUUAAAAAGGGAACACUAGUCCUAGAAAGUUGAAUCAAACCAUAUAAUUAUUUGUAUUUUUUAAGAAAUUGUUUUAAAGUUGGCUACAACCGUGUUUUAAAGGCCAAUUGUUUUGCUCAGUUGCCUCCAUGAGAGUUUUUCUUUUUCUGUAAAUUUGGCUUGAUGCAAUGAACUGAAGAUGUCAUUAACAAAAUCUUUUUAGGUUCAAAAUGUCUAGCUACAUCUAUGAACACCAAAUUCUUGAGUGAGGGAACUGUACUCGUAUAUGCGAUCUAUAUAUUUCAGCUAAAGCUAGCUGUAUAAUUUUGACUUCAAUGCCUGGGAAUUGAUUUAGACAAAAAUAAUCAUGGAAAGAAUUUUACUGUUACGAUUUCGUAUGAGAAAAAGCAAAGAUUCAUUAGUCAAAAAGUAGAUGGUUUUAACAAGUUCGAUUAUAAGAAUGAUUAGGAACGAAGGCCAUAAAAAGAACUGGAGAAUGGGAAUUUCUAUUGGAAGAGAAAAACAAAGUUGUUGAAAAUAUAUAUGGAUAUAUUAUAAUAAAAAAAAACAUACAUAUUUAUAUUAAAGAAGGCUAAAUUGAUUCCUCUUGUUAAAGGAAAAGGAAAAUGUUUUAGUUAGUGCUUGAAGAAAGAAGAUGCAAUUAGCUUGUUUUUCCAAUAAGAAGGAAGGAGGAAUGCAACACUUAUUCAUCUUUGAAGGUGAGUGCUAGAUUUUAUAAUUUUUUCAUAUAUCCAUAAGCCAACAUAAGUAUAUAUCAAAUAUGGAUACUUGGAAAAAGAAUCCAAGUAAUUUAGAUUGAUGUUUAUCUAGCUAGUUCAGAUUCUUCUAUCUCAUGUGAGAGUUAUAUAUAUAUAGUUUAUUUGACAAUAAUGAUCCAUUUUGACUUUUUUAUGCUCAUUGACUGACCCCCUCCGCCUUUGAAGCACGCCAGCAAUAAUCCUUCCCAAUAGUGCAGUCUUAGAGAAAAGCACUUACUCAUCUUUUCUUUUCCCCCUUGAUUAAUGAUCAUAAAAAGGCACUAUUGGCUACCCUUAAUUUGAAGUUGUAUUUUAUUUGUUUCUUCUCCAUUAUUAUUGCAGAACAUAAUCUAAAUCAAAUCAUUCAUCUGAUACUCCGUGAUAUCCUUCAUAUCUCUCACCAGCUGAUCCAUCUUGUAAUUAACCCCUUUCUUUACUUUUAUCAUCACAAGUUCACCAUUUCAAUCUCAACCUCUUGGUGUUCAUCCCUAGACAUGAAGGGAUUAUUGUGUUUAUCUUUUACUACAUUGAGAUGAAUAUAUCCCUAAGCUUGAAAUGAAGAACAUUUUUUUGGUUUUUCAUAGGUUAAACAAGCAGGAAAUUAGGCCAAAGAUAGAAAUAAACUAAAAAAAAAAAAAAAGUAUUAAAGAAAAAGGACAUUGGACUAAUGGUAGCAUGUAUAACUCAGGUUUGGUUUAAUGGUUAUCUCUAUUUGUAAAAACUAAAAAGUCAAGGAAAACAUAUUAUAUAUACAUACAUACACACACACACACACAGACAUAUAUAUAUAUAUAUAAAGGAAGGAUAUGAGUUGAGUUAAAAGUUGAAACCUGGUGCUUGCAAAUUCAUAGAGCUUCCCACUGCUGGAGAAGAUGACAAGGCCAACUUCAGCAUCACAUAGGAUAGCCAGCUCUUUGGCCUUCUUGAUCAAACCCUUUCUUCUCUUUGAAAAGGUCACUUGCCUACUUGCUGAAUUAUCGAUCCUUCGAAUCGCAAUCUUCCCUCUCCCCAUCCUUUGUUUCUUCUAGGGUUUCUACAGUCAGAUCAUGACAGAGAAAGAUUAAAUAGAAAGAGACCCUAAACACAAAUCUUAGUCAAUAAAAAAAACAAACAAGGCAAAGAUUGAUUCUCAAGUUGGAACUAUUAGCUUACAGGGUUAAGCCAAGCCAAUGGACAGCGUUUGGAAAUUAAUGGUGAAUGAGAGAGGGAGAGGGGCUUACCAAGUGAAAAGUGGGUUUGCUUUUUGUGGGUUAAUAGAGCUGGUUUGGAGUACUUGGAACUUUGCUAACACUGCAAAUACUUUAGGGCAAAUACUUUACAAGGUAUAGAGAUUUCCUGUAAUUUUAUGGCGCCAUUGCUCGAAUAAGUUACGGACGGGUGGGAAUGAAUAUGAAUAAAUAGUAGCUAGUCUAUCCCUUCUUUUUUUAAUGACCUUUUGUGGAAAACAGUCGCAUGUUAAUUACUGCACAUUUAAUAUUGAUAAUAAUAAAAAUAAUACUAUUUUAGAUUUAAAUUUGUAUGUAAUUUUUAAAAAAUUUAUACAAAAACAAAAAUAAUCUUAAAACAAUAUUUAUUGUUUUGUAAAAAUAAAUAUUAAAUAAUUUGACAACUGAAUUGAGAUCUAAUUAAUCAAUCAAAUACUUAAAUAAUGCCUUAAUUUUCUUGUAUCACAUGAUUAUUUUGAAUAAAGAAUUCAACCCAUUUGUAAAGUGUAAAUAAAUAACUAAAUUGCAAAUGAAAAACACAUGACAUUAAAUAAAUUUACAGGAUUCGUCAAAUAUAUAUGGAAAAUUUUAAUUCAAAAGCUAAAAGGAGUGGCAGUUGUUUAAGUCAAUUUGGAUUUGAGAAUAAAUGCAAAAUAUAUUUUAAGUUUAGGCUACAAAUAGGGAAUUUGAAUAAGAUAGGAUCCGUGAAGUGGGUGGUGUUGUUUGAACAUUAAGUAUAAAAAUGGUGUUAAUUUCCAGACAUAGCUUUGGAGUUGGACAGCUUCCAAUUAUGGAUAAUGUAAGAAACAAAUUUCUUCAAUCCAAAUGUAGAAGCCCUUGUAUGUUAUUGGUUCUAUCAAUCUCUUUUUUCUUUUUUCUUAAUUACAAGAGGAGGGCAAAGUCUUAAUAGCAACACGACUCGAAUCCAGACCACACCUGAAGCGAUGAACACCCUGAUUAUCAUGCCAACACACCAUUUUUAGGUAUACAAAAGUUUACUCAUGCGUUUUUUUUUUCUUUGGGGAGGGGAGAUUUUAGAGUUGUCACUGUCGAAGAAUAAUUUGUUUUAAUUUUAUAUGAAAAUUAGAAUUGUUUAAUAAAUUCUACAAAUUUUACAAAUUGAAUAACUUGAAUAAUUUGGAUAAGUGAUUCGAGAUUCGAGUUUAAGUCGAGUUAAAUUUUACAAAUUGAAUAACUUGAAUAAUUUGAAUAACAGAUUGGUGUAAAUAUCCUUUUGGUCCCCGUCAAUUUUGAAAAUGGACAAAUUGGUCACUCUCUCAAACAAAAAUUUCAAAAUAAUUUUCAAAAAUUCAAAAUAUUUAUAUGGACCUAAAUAAAUUAAUUAACGGUUCAAGUUUAUCAUACUAAAGUAUCAAAUUUUAUUUUAUAUUUUGAACAUUUUUUUAAAUACAUAUGGUUUCAAAUUUAUGCACUCUAAUAUGACAUAUUAACUAUACUGUAAUAAAAUUUUAAUUUGACAUAUUUAAUUUUUUAAUUUAAUUCGAACAAUUUCACUUGGUUCGAAUUUCAUUUCACUCGACUCAAUUUAAAAAAUUUCAAAUCAAAUUAAGAUAAUAAAAUAGGACUCGUUAACUCGAUUAACCCGGAAACUUUUCACUUGAUUCGAUCGAACGCUAGCCUUUAUCUAAUAUGAAACGAAUGUUAACUAGUGAAAAUUUGAUAGCAAGAAUUUAAGCAGCCAGCAGUUGAAGUUAGAAAUAUCUUGUCAGGUAAUAAAUUGAGUCGUCUUUGCCUCUCUUAGUUUCUGUAGUCUUUUAACACUUAGCUCUCUCUCUUUUGUUAUAUAUAAAAAAAAAAUUAAAGUUGAAAUGUCAAAGCCAAUGUUGGCACUCCUAAGUCCUAAGUCCUAAGGAAAUAAUGAUUAAUUUCUUAUUCGCACUCCCAAGUCCUAACACCAAUGUUCAAAAUUUGAUGUCUGUAUAUAAAAAAAAAUCUGUAAUUUUAUUUCUCAUUUGAUAGAACAAUUAAUAUUGAGUCAAUCAUAGAUGAUGAGUCCAACAUUUUAGUGGAAGCAAAAGAAGGUUACUUUAAAAAUAUUAGGAGAUUUAAAGUGAAAAUGGACCGAUUUCGUGGAACCAAAACAAGGCUACUUUUGAGUUAAAUCAUUUUAUUCCAACAUUUUUGUUGGAAAAUACAAGUUGAGCAGCGACAUACAUGUGAAACACCUUAAAAUUAUCAUCCACCAAUCUAGUGCUGUCUCCACACGCUUUUUCAUCCACGUUAGCCAAUGGGAAACAAUCUCCACGCGCGUGAUUUAUGUAAAAGCCUGUGGCUGUGUGAAUUAAAUACAGAUUUAUGAAAAUGAAAACGAAAACGAAAAUGAGAAGUUUAGGUGGGGGUCCCAAACAGAUAAUCACACCUGCGAUUGGCUAAUGAGCAUGUGAAUGGGAUUUGUUGGACCAAUAAGAUUCCAUAAACCUUUGCCAGAAAAGCAUAAACUGAAACUAGGGUUAGUGUUUAGGGUCAGGGUUAGGCAGUCAUAGAUAAAGGAGAUCCCAAAAUCCCAAGAUUUUAAAAUAUGUUUGAGAAACCGAGGUUAGCCAGGUGUCAAUCAUCAACAAAUGAUUGAGAAAAGAAAGUUACGAAAACGAACCGUUUUCUAUUAAUUAAUAAAGCAUCCCACUGUUCUGACUCAUCCCACCAUCAACUCAUCAUUUUCCAAGUUGCGGAAGGAUGUCUAUCUUAAUUUGCAUCACCAAAAUUUAAAAAUCAUGAUUUCAUUUGACUUGUCAUUGAAUUCUGAUAACAACGUCACCAUAAUUUACUCCCAAUCCUAAAGUCACACUUUGCACGUACCACUGCCUUCAGUCGCGCUCCUCUCACCAACGAUGGCACCCACAUGCUCAAAAUCAUUUGAAUUUGUGUGAAUCCAAUCUUCCCUGUCACUGUCAUUAGAUCUCCUUGGGGGGAUUAAAGCUAGGACGGUGACACGACCGUAGUACCCAAAAACUUGAUGUGUAAUGUAAUAGGUUAAAUAGUGAAGAUGGUGAAGUACGAAGAUUUUUUUUUUUUUUAAUUAUGUAACUUCCAAUUAUGCAUUUAACUAUAAUUUUUUUGCUAGGCAUGAGUAGCGAUUUAAUGAUCAAAAUAUAGUAAAUUGAUAAUAUUAAUAAUUAUAUUGUCAUCUUUUAAAAUUUAAUAAUCAAAAUAUAAUUUAUAUUUUACCCAUAAAAUGAAAGGAUUUGCACGUGAACUUUCAUCAUACCUCUCAAAUAUUUUCUCCACCCGAGAAAAAUUCAAGAUUUUGGCAACGUUUUUUCAAAGUGGUAGAGAUCUGCUGCCUUUUACAGAUUUCAAGUUCACAUGAUUUCGAUUUUUAGAGUGUGUAGUCUUUGUUUCGUAGAGUAUAUUAUAUUAUAUUUUAAAAAUAAAAAAUAUUAUGAUUAAUUAUCAUGAUUUUUUAAAUAAAUUUCUAAUUGUUUACAAGAAUUAGAGAUUGUAAUUGAAAUUAUCUAAUUGUACAAAAAUUAAUGAAAUUUGGUAAUUAUAUAAUAGUUACUCUAAUUACAAAUAUGCAAUUACAAACAAUUACAUUUAAAUCUAAUUAUUAGGAUUAGGGCUAAGUAAAAAAAUCGAAAAAUCGAUUCAAAUUGAUGUAUUCAGUUUGGUUCAACUCGGAUUUUGUAAUAUUCAAUACAAUUUCGGGUUGGUGCUAUCACCCAAACCGCCCAAUGCGUUUCAAGUUUGAUUUUUUCACAUGAAACUCAUUUUAUCUAAAUCGAACCGAAUGAAAAAAAAAUAUGCUUAAGAAAUAGUCCUAAUAGAAUAAUAAAUUGAUCAUUUUAAUAUCUAUAUGGACUCAUUCAUUUAACCCUAUUAUUAUUAAAUAAAAUAUUUCAUAAAAAAUUAUAAAAGUGUAGUUUUAUAUUAGAGUAAGUGAAUAAUUUAUUAAAUAUAAUAAUUAUAAUUAUAAAUAGAAACAUAAACAUAAUUUUAAUUUUAGGAAAAUAGUUUAUUAAGUUUUAUAAUAUUUUAUUUAUAAAAGAAACAACUUUUCGCAAUUAUAUAUAUAUUUGAUAGUUUUGAAUUUAAUCACUUAUUUGGCGUAUUGUAAUCACCUAGUUAUAACUGAUAUAAAAAAUGAAUCGAAAAAAAUUAUGUAUGCUGAUGAUUUAUGUAUUAGCUUUCCUUUUAACAACUUUAAAUGGUUUAUUGCAAUGUUAGAUUAUUUUGGACCCAAAACAAGGUGAUAUUUUUUUUUGAUAAAAUCCAAAUUUAAUAAAAAGCGUUGAACCGAACCGAAUUAAGAUUAUCGAUUUUACAUAUUUUUAUUUUUAUUCUACACAUAUAAUAAUAUCUUAUAAAUUUGGGGUUGGGCUUAAAGCACAUAUCCACAUUCAUUUCUUAUCCUUAAACUGUUGCCUGUUCGAAAAAAAAUGUACAAAGUUAUUGAAGGAGAAAUGAAGUGCGCGCAUCGGUAUUCGAUUCGGUUGAUUUCAAAUUUUGGAUAAAAAUUAAAUUGGAUCAUUUCGUUCGGUUUUUCAUUUUUGAAAUUGAAACUAAAAUAGAUAAAUUAGUCAAAGAGUUGAUUGGUCAUUCUAUUAAAAAUUUCAUCAAUUUCUACUGUUAAUAAUUGGUCUCUGUAUGUCAACAUGAAGUACUUGUGGCAUGCCAUAUUUCACUAUUUGAUUAUUCUGUUAGUUAUGCUAGUUUUAACAGUAGAAAUGAAUAAAGUUUUUAACAGAAAUGACUAAUUUACUAUUUGAUAUAAUGUACAACAACUAAUUUUUCACUUUUUUAAUAGAUAGGAUAAAAAACAAUCUAACACUUAAUACAUGAGCUUCCAUAAUAUUUUUACCUCAUUUGAAAAAUAAUUACACAAGCAAUUUAGUAAAGUGCACAGUGUCAUUGAGACAUUUUCAUGGUGUUAGCAAAUGUCAAGGCUUUGAGAACUUCAGUGUUCAGGUUGGAGUUUUGCUGUACGUUAUUUAUGUGUGUAUUCUCCCCUAGAUUUUUUUCUAGUUAGUAAUUAGUUAACUAAAGUUAGAGUUAAUUAUUUAAUUUAAUAUUUAUAAUGAUUGAUUCUAAUUAAAAUUAUUGACAUAAAAUUACAACUUAAAGAAAAUUAUAAAUUAAGAUCUGAGCACUAAACUUUUUUAAUGUUAUUUUUUGAAGGUGAUCGUAUAAACAAAUUAAAAUAGAUCAAAUUCAUUUAAUUAAACCACAAGAUUACAAAUGAUUAAGUCCAAAUAUAAAGGGAGACCCAUCAUAACUCCGGUUCUGAGCAAAAGAUAGAAAGGAAAGUAUAUGACCAAGGGAUCGAUUGCAUAUUUCUCAUCAGUUAGAGGAGGAGAAACCCACGCGUGGCUGUGGAGGAGGGCGAAAGCCAUACUCCUAUGGUGUUUAACAACCUUUAAAACCAUUUUCUAAAGCUAUGGAACCUUCACACGUGUCGUGUUCGAUCAAGAUGACGGACACAUUGUUGGUUGUCUACAUGACCUCAUCAUUGGUUGGAUUUGAACAGUUGUUUAGAUCAAUCGAAAUUGAUAAUAAUAAUAUACUUUUACGAGUUUUGUAAAACUUACCACACUAAAUAAAAAUAAAUUAAAAUUUUUACUAAUAUUUAAUCACUUGGAAAGAACAAUAAAUUCUUCAAUUUGCUUUGAAAUUAGUAAACUCCAAGCAAUCUACCACCAAAAUAAUAAUAAUAAAAAUUAUGCAAGCAUUGAAGGUAUGGUGACAACUACAGUGAAGACAUUGAGAAUCACCUUACACUUUCUAUUGACAAUGGUGUAAAGAUUAAUGGUUAAUUUAUUUUUUAUUGUGUCUUAUAUAUAAAAAGAUAAAAUAAGUAUUUAACAUCUCAAUUUUAAUUGAGAGAUUUUCUAUUUAUUUAUUUAAGGUAUGUAAUGGAAAAAUCAAAAUACUAUCUAAAAUAUAAUAUAAAAACUACUAUAUCAAAAAUCAAAUAUAUAGUCAUUUUCAUAAAAACUCCAAACAAAUAAAUCCCCCAACGCCCCUCCCCCAAAAAACAAAUAGUACUAACACUAGGGCUAAUCCCUCGUUGAAGUAGACAUGUGGUGGCGAUGAAUUGAAUCCAUAUAUAUAUAUAUAUAUAUAUUCAACAAAGCAAUCGAUCCAAUUCAAGGGGAGGAUACCUCAUCCAGACAACACCGAUAGAAGCAGAUGGAGCAAACCUAGUAAUGUAAUCGGCAGCUUUGAACCCCACCUUUUAGUCCUCUCCAUUGUGCUUCAAUGAUACUUGUAUAAUUAUACUUUGGUUUAUGGUAGCUUUGGGUACAAUGUAGGUAAUGUAGGUUUUUGGGUUGCAAUAUUUGAGAUUCAAUCAAACAUAAUGCCUCCAGGCCUAAAAGAGUUUGGUUGAGCCAAUUUUUGGGCAUUGUUCUGUGGAAAAAAAAAAAGGAUACGCGCCAGGUAGGGAUCGAACCUACGGCCUUCUGCUUAGGAAACAGACGCUCUAUCCACUGAGCUACGAGCGCUUGUUUUCUAUCGGCUAACUAAAUAAUCUAUUCAUUAUCUAGUUCAUUAUACUUCCUACACUAGUUUAUGGUUUUUCUAGUCCUAUUACAGGUAACUUGUUUUCAUCAAUUCUAUUAUUCAGUUCACCAUGAAAUUGAUAUCCAUUUUAUCAUUAUUAGAAAUAAAUAAAUAAUGUUCUCUUCCCUUCAACAUAUAGCAAUAAAGUAAAAUUCUUACAAAAGUUUACAAAGAAUCGAUGGUUGAUGGUUUAUUUGUCAAUUUUAAUUAAACUCUUUAUAAUUUGAAAAUUUUAGGUCCUCAUUAAACAAUAAUAGUUGUAUUCAUUAAGCUAAUUUUUUAUAUUGAUUAUUCAAACUCAAGUUAUUUUUUAAAAAAAUAACACCCGAUCAAUAAAUCACGAGCUUAUUAAGUUAAAUAUUUUUCAAUUCUAAAAUUAUAUUUGUCAAUAUAUUAACAAAUGUGUAAUGUUAUAUUAACUUUCUAUUCACACAUAAUAUUAAAAAUUUAAAAUAAAUCAGUUAAUAAAUUUAAUGGGUGCUAUUUUCUUCAAGAUUAAAAUUUAAAAAUUCAAAAAAAUACAUGAACUAAGCAUUAUCAAAUUAAAAAGUAUGAACUAAAUCUAUAAAAUUAUGCAUAAUACAAUACUAAUAACAGAAUUUAAUGAAACAGAUUUAAUGGAAAACAUUUGGAUCAAAAUUGAAAAUUUAAAAGUUACAAAAUAUAGGGAUUAAAUUCACAACUUGUAUAUAAUACAGGGAUUAAUAACAGAAUUUUACCCAACUUUUCCCUCCAUUCUUACAAGCGUUAGUUUUGGCACAUAUGUCGAGCGCCAAAACCAACGGUCGAAGAAAAUCUUAGCAAAAAAAAAAAAAAAAAACCCAUAUGCUUCCAUUUUACAUAACAAUACUUGAAACAAAAUUAACUAUACAAUAUAAUUUAAAUAAUAUUUAUUUAUUUUUUAGUGACUUUAAUUAGAAAAAUGAAUGAAAAGGAUAUAGAUCGAGUUGAAUUUAGUGUAUAAAUAUAGAAGAAAUUCCAGAUCUUAUAAUUAAAGGUGGAUUGAUUUUUAGUUUUGCCAUAAUGUGUCAACGGAUAACCAACUUCCAAAUAUAAACUAUUUUGCAUCUAAAAUUCUUUGAAUGCAAACUAAUUUUCCCAGAGAUUGAGAUUGGAAAGAACCCCCCCCCCCCUUUCCUUUUCUCCCAAAACACGAACAUGUAAGUUCUGUUUUGGGAGAUUCUUGAUUUUCCAAGAACUUUUCAAUUUCAAAUGUUGGAGAGGAUUUUGAAUUGAAAAAACAAAUCCUUUUUUAUUCAAUUUUCCUUUUGUUUGGAAUUUGAAAAGCCUGGGACAAUAUGGCUAUGGAAGUGGAAGGUAUUUCAGGCUUCUUCUUUUUUUGUCUUAUUGUUUUUGGACAUUUUUCAUCCUUUAAUGAAUUGGGGGUUUUUUAUUUUUUUUUGGGAUUGUUUUAAUCAUAAAUGGUUGCUUUGAAAGUUUUGAUUUUGUUAAUGCAGAGACAGUUAAAGGAACAGAAGGAGAAAACCCAGAAAUUGAAUCAAAUCACCAACUACCAAGAGGUUUAUUGGAGAUUCUUUUUACUGGGAUUGGUUAAAAAUCAUAAAUGGUUUCUUCAAAUUUACAAGUUUUGGUUUUGUUCAUGCAGACAAGGGAAAUGAAACAGAAGAAAAGAACCCAGAAAUUGAAUCAAAUCAACCACCAAGAGGUGUGUUGGAGAAUCCUGAACUGGGAUCAGACUCCGACAACAGCGCCACCCCCACAAGGACCACCAGCAAGGGAGGCGGCAAUGAUAGCUCCGAUCCUCAAAAACCAGUUUUGCAAAAAUGGGCCGAUAGUUUUCAGUGGAAGAGUGUAAUCGGAUCAAUUAAGAGGAAAUCAGCCAGAAGUAUAUCUGUGAUUCCUUUGCUAACAAAACUUUCAAAACGCCAUGGCUCUUACGGAGAUGAAGAGCUUGAUUGCAUGCCAUUGCUUAAAGCUUCAUGGAAGAACUUUUCUUACUUAGAGCUUGCUAAUGCUACUGAUAAUUUCAGUCCUGGUAUGCCAUCAUAUCCCAUUUCAAAGUCUUUUUCCUUUCUAUUUCUCUGAUACAAAUAUAUUAAAAUUGGGUUGUAUUUGGUUCAACUAUAAGUAAUUUCACUUCCAACAUCUUUAGAUAGAAAUAGAAUGAUAGCUUGAAGAUGCUCAAACUUACUGACAAUUCAAAGCAACUUAGGGAUAACAUCCAUGUAAAUGAGCUAUUAGAAUUUGAUUUGGGAAAUUUUAAAACUUGAUUUGAUUUGAUUUGGGGUAACAUUCUCUAGAGGUACUGUAUCUUUGGUUAUAUUGAUAGAGUAUGGUUCUAAAUAUGCAUAGAACAUUUUUGUAGAGAAUUUGCUCGGAAGGGGAGGCCAUGCAUUAGUAUACAAAGGGCAUUUAUCUGAUGGUCAAAUUGUUGCGGUGAAGAAGAUGGUGAGUAAUGGUGAAGAUGAGGAUCUAGCUGGAAAUUUCUUGACAGAGCUUGGGAUUAUUGCUCACAUCAAUCACCCGAAUGCAGCUCACUUGAUCGGAUUCAGUGUUGAUUGCGGCUUACAUUUAGUCCUUGAGUUUUCUCCUUUUGGCAGCCUUACUUCCAUGCUUUUUUGUACUACCCCAACUUCCUUUAUAGUUUCAAUUUGUCUUGUUAGUCCGGUAAACAUACUUUCAUCUCCUACGUUUACUCGGUCUCGACUGUAACUAGAAACUGUUCUUUCCUUCAGAUUCAAAACAGUGUUUAGAUUGGAAAACAAGGUUUAAGGUUGCUGUUGGCAUAUCAGAAGGAUUGAAAUAUCUCCAUCAUGACUGCCAUCGGCGGAUUAUACACCGUGACAUCACUGCUUCGAACAUAUUGCUCACUGAAGAUUACGAAGCUCAGGUACUGUGAUUUCUUGCACUGAAAAUGUAUAUAUUUUGUUGAAUGAUACCAUGUUUCUGAUUUCCUCCAACAUUGCAGAUUUCAGAUUUCGGUCUCGCAAAAUGGCUUCCGGACAAAUGGGCUCACCAUAUUGUUCAUCCCAUUGAAGGAACAUUCGGGUUAGAAAAGCGACUCUUUCUCCUUAUUCGGUUAAUUUGUUGUUAGCAUUGAUUCAUUUUAUACGAAGUAAAACAAAAUUGCCUGCAGUUAUCUAGCUCCAGAGUAUUUUAUGCACGGGAUCGUUGAUGAAAAGACCGAUGUUUUCGCAUUCGGAGUUCUAUUACUGGAGAUAGUAACAGGUCGCCGUGCAGUUGACAAGUCCAAACAAAGUCUUGUAAUAUGGGUAACACAAAUAUGCACCAAAAUCUUUCAUUUUAUAUCCUGCAAAAAGAUAUGAACUUAUUUUCUGCAUUUUUGUUACAGGCAAGACCAUUUCUGGAAUCAAAUCAAGUAAAGGAAUUGGUCGAUCCUCGGCUCAAAGAUGAUUAUAAUCCGAGCGAACUGCAACGAACAUUGUUAACAGCUUCAAUGUGCUUAAGUCACUUACCCACCAACCGUCCAACCAUGACAAAGGUAUGAAAAACACAACAAAAUUUCCCAAGAAAACAUCCCAGUUUCCCGGAAAAUUCAUGCUAGAAACCACGAAUUCUUUGCCGAUUUUGCAGGUUGUAAAGAUGCUUAAGAACGAAGAUGGUCCAAUUGAGUUUCACCAAAUAUCUUGUGGAAGGAAAGCAGUGAUUUUUGACGGCUAUGAUUUGAAAGAUUCUAGUUGUAAAAACUAUCUACAUACCAUGCGUCCAACAUAAUUUUGUAUUUGGAAAACCGUAUCCAUAUAUUUACGUUCGAAUAUAUUCGGACACUGUAUCUAUACGGAGCGAGGCAUGGUGUUGCAGGAUUGGAACAAAUAGAGCCGCCUUGCAUGGUGUUUGUUGAUAAAUUCCACGUGAUUUGGGUUAUUUUUCUUCAGCUUUUCAACUUCCUAUUCUUUCGUUGAAUUUUAGAUAUUCUUUUGUUUAUUUACCAAAAGCCAAUAAAUAAACAUUCUUUUAAUCGACCGGAUAAUUUAAUAUUUCGACAUCUCACUGUUUAAUCCAAAGUUGGAAGAAACUGAGUCCAGUUUAAUCGGAGCUCAAUUCAUAAUAAAAACUAAGCUAAAGUUAUUUAUCUACUAAAAAUUUCGAUUUUUAUAUUUUUAAUAUUUUUAAUUUUGCAAAUAAAAUGUAUGUGUCAUUUAUAUAUUUCUUUUAUUUUUAAAUAUUAAUUAAAGGCAUUUAUCAAUUUAGUUAAAUUAUUCAAACUCCACUUAUUCACUUUGCAGAACAGCAAAAAGAACAUUUUUUUUUUGAGUUUUUCAAAAAUACAUUUUUUUUAAAACACUUUUGAAAAGCAUGGUUAAAACUAGUCUUAAUUUAGUUUAAAAAAUAGUUUAUUAAUAAUCACGAUUGAGUCCUUCUUUGAAAAAGAAAAAAGAAAAGAAAGGCAGCCCUUCUAGGCCCAAACAAAAUGAACCGUAAAAUAACAGAAUUCUAUGCAAAAGCUUGAGAAGGGGAAAUGGCGACGGACAUUAUUAUCCAGACGGCAAUUUUGUUAUUAACACUCGCUAUUGUCUUUGCAAUUCAAUACGUUCCCAAACAAACCUUAACCAAGCACCGAACCGACCAUCGAGCCACGACCCAAACCCAACGCCAUCUCAGCCGAGCCACCCAAUUGCUUUGUCGAGCCAAAUCCAACCCUCAGAAAGACCAAUCUCAAACCCUAGCGAAAACCGCCAUAACCGAAAUCGAAAAAGCCCUUUCUCUUUUCCCAAAAGACCCAACUCCUCACAUUCUCAAAUCCCUAGCUCUCGACUUAUUGGGCCACAAGGGAUCCGCUCUCAGAUCGCUCGAUUUGGCGUUGGCUUUCCCCCGCGUGAAAUCGCUCUCGGAGAAGGAACGCGUGGAGGCGCUGGUGAGGAGGGCAGAAUUGAAGUUGGCGGUUAAUAAGAGAAGGCGAGUUGACUCGGCCGUUUCGGAUUUGGAGGAGGCAGUUAAGGUGAGUGAUAAAGAGGGUGAGACUAAAACGAAGGCGUUUUGUUUAUUGGGGGUUUGUUAUGAGUUAAAAGGGAUGAGGGAAGAAUCUAGGAAGGCUUUCGUAGAGGCGCUUAAGCUGGAGCCUGCCUCUACCCUCGCUCGUCAGGGUUUGGAACGGGUGAGUUUGUCAUGAGUCAUUGAUUCCACGACUCGUCAUUCUUUCCGUUCUUCUAUUUCUUUUAAUUAUUUUCCCCUAAAAUAUUGUAAAAGUAUUUUGUAUUGUAUAUUUAACUUCGGCAUAAUGCUUUCAUAAUAGUUUGUUUAACUUUGCCGCUUCAUCCAGGAUUUCAGUAUUUAAUUAAUUUUUAAAAUUUAAAAAUAUUAAAAAUAUAUUCUUUUUAUAUUUUAUAUUAAUUUUUAAAAAUAUUUUUAUAUUAAUUAAAAAAUGAUAUUUUAAAAAAAAAUUGGAGAGCCUUCAAUUCUUUUUCAACUAGUUUUGUCUUUUUAUAUAUUUUGAACUCUCAACUAUAGUUGUAUCAAUAUUGUUUGUUUUUUUAUCGUCACAAUAUUUGCUUAUAAAGCAAAGUGCCACACCAACAGAUGACAUUCAGCUACGGCAUAGUACUAAUUGUAUAAAAUGCUUAUGUUAAUCGAUAUGGCUCAUUUAAAUAACAUAAAAUAAGUCUUUAAUCAACAACUAGUGGGAUAGAUACUGAUGUUGGGUUACAAGAUCCAACAUGUUUUUCAAUACAUAUAUAAAAGCCUGCCUAUUGCUGUGCUUUUCACCUUCACUUUCAUAAUCAUGGUUGCACUUGAAACCAAAUUUGGCUAAGGCGCUGAGAGUCGUAGUCAUUGACCGUAAUCUCAGGAAGAGAGGCGCUAGUAUCUUUCACAUCCAUCACCUGCUCAUUCACCACAUGCAGAACCGUGCCAUCGCUUUGAAAUUGCCAUCGUUCCUCUACCCAUCCUUCGCAAGUUCCUACGGUGACUGAGUACCCUCCUGGAUAUGCACACUUGAGACACCCGUUUCGGUUCUUUUUAGGCCUGAUGGUCCCAUCUGGAUAUAUAGCCCAAAGUUGUUCAUCGUCGUUUUUCACGCACUUCUCUAACCACACUCGACUUCUACUUGCCAGCAAGCACAAACCAUUGUAACCAACAAUGGUGGUCACUGUUGGUUUCGUGUUAUUGCUGACAAACCAAGCUUGUGUAGAACUAUAAAUAUUGCGAUCUACAACCAGAUUAAUCAUGGUUGAGCUAUAUCUACUUGCCGUUAAAACUAGCCCCGAUUUGGGAUUUCUUAUGUUUCCAUCUCUCCGGAUUUCCCAUUUGGUAGCAUCAGGGACAGCUGUCACAAUCAUAGAUCAUCACAUAGUCCUUUAGGCUGUAUCCGUAAGUGGUUAGGCAUUUUCCACCGGAUCGAAUUGUGUUAUCAUCUGUUUUCAGCGUCCACAAUUGACCGGCCUGAUUCUCCAAACAUUCUGAUAAAACUAUUUUGUUUCCAUUGUGGUAGCUUCCUUGGUAUACAUCAACACAAAAACCAUCUAGACCAAUAAUAUGCGAGGUUGGUGCUAAAUCUUUUUCACAGGUGCGGUCAUUGUCUUCCAGGCCAGUGGACCUCGUAGCCACAGGCAACAAAGGGGAAAACCCAGACGACGCGUUGAUGUUGGCAUGCGCAAAAUCUGCAGAUGAGCCCCUGUGUUUCUUCUGCAUCGUGACGGCAUUAUUGCAAUGGUGAAAAUCACUUGCCUCACAGUGCUCAAAACUAAUUCUUGACCAUCAUAUACCAAACGGACUGCUGUUCUGAAGAUUCCAUCUGUUGCAGAUUGGAUGGCGGUGGAUAUGUCUUCCCAGCUAGUUUCAUACUCCAUCACUAAACCAUCUGGAUAAAACACACUGUAAGUUCCAUCAUGACGAGGCUCUGCAAUUGUAAGCAGUUCCUGUUGGAUGUUCCUCAAUCUCACAGCUUCCGAGAUCAUCUGGAUGCAAACUAUAAGGGCUCUUGCAAUGGGGCGACGAUCAGUACUAGGUUGUAUAUAAUUCAUGUUAUCAAUAUGUUGGCGCAGUUCACCAAUUCCCAAAGGGAUUUCCCUUCUGUACGCUCCUGCAGCAGUUUCAAGUGCCCCAUAGUUACCGGUAAAUGGAAGAGACAGGUCUUGAGUGUUUGGGAACAAAAUAUUGCGUACGUUAGUGGGAACAUCACUAAAGAAGGAGGAGUUUCCACUUCCACCUGGUUGAUAACCCAAGAUAUACACGUCACUGACGUCCAAAGCUAAUGUGACGGUUUGGUAUCCAUUUGAGAGUUUGACCAGAAGAUAUUGUUGGGGAUCAGAAGGUUCCGCAGAUCGGGGAGGCAACACUGGUAUGUCUCCACUUCGAUCUGCACGGACUGUCAAUGCAUUUUGCAGAUCUUUCAUAAACAUCUGAUACGACUUCCUGUCGGCACCCUUAGUGGUGAAUUUCACCGUGUAAAUUUUGAGCUUCUGUUCAUUUUCUUUGGCAGCGAUGCAGCAUCGUGGUUCCACCAUGAAUGCCAAUACCGCCAACAGUAAGAGAAUCCACGCCUUCAUUUUUCCUUGAAGAAAACUUUCUAUAUGAAGAAUAUUGGGUGAUAGAUUUUUGAACGUAGAGGGUUUUGCAAUGCUUCUAACGGGAAGAGGAGAGCACCUUUUAUAACAAUUUUGGUCGCCAACAUAUCAAACUCCUCCACCACACACAUCAAGACACGUGUCUAACGGUGAAUGGAUUGGUGGGGCCCCAAAUCUAGUACUUUCAUCCACUAGCAUGCACAAUAUUAAUGUGUUUGUUGAGUAGAUUAUAUUGAUAACCCAUCGUUCAUGUUAGUUCUAAGUAACUCAUAUUCUAUAGAUUGGGUCGCUUAGUCCGAUUGUACCUUCUCUAUAGUAUACAUAAUUAGCAUUUUGAAAUCUCUAACCUUUUAUCACGGAGACGGUUGUUUAGUAAAGAGAGGAAGUAUUGCAAACAAGUGAGUGAGAUGUAAUGAAAAAUAACAGAGAGUAAGAUUAGAGUAAAUCCACUAACAAUGAGCGCAACAACAGGUGGUAGUUGUCAAUCAAACUUAACAAAGAAGCAAGUUGGGAGAAUUUCAGAGAAAAUCUUUUGAGAUUAAAAUGUGGAAAAUGUCAAAAGCGUCAUGAGUUCUUUCAUCAAUUGUGAAAGACUCGUAUUUAUUGUGUUUCAAGAAUAGGAUUUACAAAUAUAAUAAUUAAUAUGAAUAAUGUAAUUAAUUUCCAGUUAUAAUUGCAUUAAAAAUUAAAAAAAAAGGUAGUGAAAGGUUUUGUGAGUAAUGGUGAAUAGUGAAGAAAAAUUCCGAGAAUAAUUCUUAACUACUUCGAUGUCUGAUCUACCAAACUAAGCUCUCCGGAACAUCCCAAAAGUAAAGGUAACCUAAAAAUCCUGUCAUAUUUUAGGGUUACUUUCACUUCUUCUAUUUGGGCAAAGCAGUAAGAUAUGAAAUAUCUUUCGCGAAACAUUUCUUGAAAAGCAAGAUGUGGCUGUUCUUAGAUGAGAGUCGUUCCUAAAUAAUGAUUUAUUUUGAUUUAUUCCAAAAUGUGAGCUGCUUUUACAUAGUUAUUCUCAGUGUAGAGGUUGCUUCGAAUAAGAGGAGUUAUGUGGUGAUACUUUUUUGGGUAAAACUUAUUCUAAAUAAUGGCUUUUUCAGAAGAAAAAAAAAACACAUUUGUUUUAAAUACAAAUUGUUACAAACAAUGAUUGUUCUAAAUAUAACUGUUUUUGAAACACUAUUAUUUUAAACAAGAAUUGUUCUGAACUUUAGUUGUUCUUAAUAAGAGUUCCCAAAUAACAAUUGUGCUGGAUGAUAGCUAUUUUAACUAAAGUCCUAUUCUGAAUAUAAUUAUUCUCGAACAACCAUUUUAAACAAGAAUUGUUGCUUCGAAAGAGAUAUACAUAAUUUCCUGAAAUAUAAUAACUUUUAUCUUUAAAAAAAAUAAAAAUGUUAAUAGCCAAAAAUGAAUAUCUACGUGUGAAUUAUGUUAAUUAAUGUUUAAAACUAUUAUAUGAAGAUAACAUUUAUAAAACAAUACACGUAAUUAAUUUUAUUUUAAGAAAGUCAAGGGUAUUUUCAUCCUAUCUUGUUUGUUAGUGUAUGAGUUUAUAUAUUGAUAGUAAAUAAAAUAUAAAUUUAUAUACUAAUAGUGAAUUAGAAUGUAUACGAAUAUAGUUCAUGAGUUAAACAAAUAAGAAAAAAAAAGUGAAAGUAAAAGUAAAAGUAAAAACAAAAGUAAAAAAAAUUGAUGCAAAAAGUAAACGAAAUUUUAAUUCAAAUGGUAAGUUUAAUAUUUAAAUAUAAAGAUAUAUUAUGUUGAUGUUUUUUUUAAAAAUUUAUUUUGGGUUUUAAAUUAUUUUUUAUAGAUUUUAUAUAAAAACGUAAAAGAAAAAGACAAAUUUAAUAUCAAAAUAUUUCAAUACAGUAUGAAUGAGAAAUCAUUUUUGUUAUAAUAUUGAUAUCAAUGAGAUAUGAUACAGAAUCUUGUGCUAACGUGUAUCAACUAUAAAAACUUAUUUUGAAAGUGAAACUAAGAAUGACGAUAAAGAGGUGAAGAUUAAAGAUGUUUAUGUAUCGUGUUGCUAUUAGCUUCUUUUUUUUAAUAAUUUCUUAAGUACACGUGAUUUCGAGUGUUGUCUAGUUAACCUUGUUACUCAUUUUACUAUUUAAUAAUAAAAUUUAUUAAUCAAUAACUCAAGACUAUGUUAUCCAAAUAAAGAAACAUCAUGGUGCAUGAAUGUAAAAUGAUUUAAUAACAAUUAAGGGUUAAUAUUUGAUGUACUAGUGAAUCAAAUAAUGACACAUAAUCCGAUUAAAUCCAUUCAAGAUAAUGUGUCAUCAUCUGAUUUUGAUAAUUUUGAAAAUAAAGAAAAAGAAAAGAAAAUGAUAUGAGGGAAAAACAUCAGGGAAACGAAGCUAGACUUGAAUAAGUCUCUAAUUAAAUACCUUCCUAAUUUAUAUUUUAAAAUUUAAAAUUUAGUCCAUAUACUUUAAUUUUGAGAUAUUGAGUUUUCUUAUAUAUUAAAAAAAACAUUUUUUUCAACUUAAUUAUUACUCCAUAAAAAAAAAUUUAAAAAAUUUAACAUUUUAAAUAAAUAUUCCUAAUAUUUGUUGUACUCAUAUUACGCUAGUUAAGAUAUUGUAUGGACAAAAUAACCGUAGAUAACCCUCCUCCAACCUUAACAUUGUUAGACCACGCCCAUAAACUUAAUAAUAAAAGGGCCCAAAUAGCCAACAACUGUUAGGGCUAGAAGGAAGGAGUCAAUCCCAAGGUGCCUUGGACUCCAAGACUAAGAAAUUUAUCAUGUGAAAGAUAAGCCUCAAAAGAAUUAUGGAAAUAUCUUGCCAUUUUCAUGUUUACAUUCCAUCAUCUCCUUUCUUAAGCUUUUUUUUCUUUCUAAAAUUCAUUUGGCCUAAAAGUUUACUUAAGUAUAGGAAAGUAAUUGAAGUUCAAACUUUGAUAUUUUUUUACUCACCCUUCUAACACGGAUUUUAAAGUAAUUGAAGUCCAUCAUCUCUCCCGGCCACUUUCAUUUAAAAUCUUUAAAAUUUUUAAAAUUUUAAAUUAGUAAAUGUAAAAUUAUACUUUAACCCCCUCAUAGAAAUAUAAAAAUUUAAUUUAAUCCUUUAAAAAUUAUAAAUACAUAAACUAUUAAAAUGGUGAAAUUACAUUUUUAUUAUCGUAAAAAUUACAAUUUAAUUUCGACCCUCCUUAAAAAAAAUUUUAAUUUUACCCCUACCUUCUAAUUUUGUAAAUCAAACCAAAUCCACAAUACUAUUGUAAAUAAACUAAGCUACUUGUAUGAAAUCACCCAUAUCUCAUAAUCCAACCAAAUCGAAUACUAUCACCUUCGCCUUCUGGUUCAAAGAAAAAAAAAAGCCUUUAUAAGACAUCCAACUCCUUCAUGCAAACCCCUACAAAGUUUGACCAAUGUAUUAUCCCGACAAAUACAUCAGAACAUUUUGUGACAUAAAAAUCCCUCGAAUUUCCACAAUAGUGGGCUAAACAUGGCUACACCAACAUCCACUUUGGAGCAUUCAGGUUAGCACUCAGCUACCAUGGCAAUAGCCAUGUUAGACUCAAGAUAUCUCAAGUAUCAACAUGCAAAUGCUUGCUUAAGUACUGCAAAAAUCUCACUGAACUCAACAACAGUCUACCUUACUUUCUUUCCCAACUGCAACAUGACACUCAAAUACCCAAAAAACAUUUUUUUUACAAAUUUUUAAAACAAAUUCAAAUGGGUUGUAAAAAAUUAAAUCAUUGGAUAAAUCAAAUAAAGUAUGAAAAUAUGUUAUCCCAUAAACGAGGAAACAAAAAAGCCUAACAACACUAGCUUUAUGAAAUUAGAUAAGAUGAUUUUUAUAAAAGCGAAAACUGCUUUGGAGGUGCGGGGAAUCGAACCCCGUGCCUCUCGCAUGCGAAGCGAGCGCUCUACCAUAUGAGCUACACCCCCAGAUGAUAUUCUAUCUCAAUAUUAGGUUAUCAUAUAUAAAACCAAAAAAUUUGGACAAACUUCAAUCCCUAUUCCAAUUAGCUCAUGGUCAACUCACCGUGUUCAACAACUUUAGUCUUGUAAGGGAUUUAGUGGCACCAUGAUCACUAUGAUCUGAGAUUGUAUUUUGGGGUUUUAUGGAUCAGGGCUGAUAUAAUCACAACGAAAAUGGUGACCCAUGUUCAGGCUUUUGGAUGAGAAAGCCAUUCCGGUUUGGCAGGGUGAUCCACAAAAUUCCUGUCUGUUAACCAUGAGUUCAACAUACACUGAUGGAAGGGGCCAACUACUGCAACCCUUGUUUUUUAACCCAAAGUCCAGCUUUUCCUACUACCAAGUAAGAGCUGUUUUAUAUGUUUCUUUCAUUGCAGAGCUCUUUGGAACAUGCAUUCAAGAAUCUCAGGUUUAAACCAUUUUUGGUUCCAUUUCAUUUCCUUGCUGUAAAUGAAAAGAGAAACAGGAAAAGAUGCUACCUUUCAAACUUGGAAAAUGGAUACAGGAAAACAUUUCAUUAAAAGAAUAUUACCUUCUUUUCAAGUAGAAACAAUCAGUUACAAAGAUGCUAUUACUAAUUCUAUUGUUGCCAAAGAAUUAUCAUGUACUUGUAUCUCUCUCACUUAGCCAAACCAUCUUCGAGCUUGGUUAUGCGUACUAUUGAGGAAGUGCCCUUCCGUAACAAAACUUACCUUUUCGGAAAGAAACUUCAAGUUGAAGAACAAGCUACCUUUUGCUGAGUAUUAUGCCCGCAAACAGCUAGAACGACAACAAAGUGAGGAAAAUUUUCCUGGCAGAGAGUAAUCCAAUUGCAAGGAUGGAUCAGUUGCGACAUCUUCAGCACAUGACCAAAUGUACACCCCUCGUUCGUCCCGGCUGCCUGGAACUGUGUUGUCGAGUACAAAUGCUACCAAGAGUGUAACCACCAUGCUCAUAGACAAGAGUGCAUUUAUAGAAAAAUCAAGCUGACAUGUUCAUAAAACAAACUUGUUAAAACUUUUUUUUCAUACAAUUAAGGAAAUCAAGAAAGACAUCAUAAAUCAUAAAAUCAAAGAAACCUGGGAUAAGUGUCUGCAUAUCUAUGUAUCAUCAGCUUAGCAACUAGAAUGGCGGCAAUCUAUAUCAAGAUUCAAAAAUAUGCACAACUUCAACUUACUUGUUCAUUAAUGGUGUGGACUGGUCCAUCUGAUGCAGCUGCAUACGGAACAAAAUAACUUGGCAGCAUCAAAAUUGACUCGGGUUGGUACUGUUGGAAAUAAGUAGGAAUGGAUAAACCAAGAAACAAGGACACCCCAACUAUGGUUAUGUUCCUAAAACUUGCUGUUUGCGUGUAUUGCAAGGUUGAGAGGCCUACAGCCACAACAAGGGCCCACAUGAAGCACAAAAUUGCAGCAGCCAAGGACAGUGGUAUUGAAGCAAGAAUUGCACCCACUUUUCCUGUCACGCACAAGUCAAUAAAUCAACAUAUAUUGAUUUCAUACAUAUAAGAUAAACAAGAUAAAUUAUUGAGCAAGGCAUAUUGAAUACAUAUGCAACCCAAUGGGUACUGUUCCAAAACUUCAUAGAGGUAUCAACCAGUAAGAUCAGAUUGAACCCCAAAUCAUUUAAAUCCAUUGACGUUGAAGAACAUUCUAUCAUCUAUCCGCAAUGCACAUCCAAGCUUGAAUUUUGACUUUACCUACAAUUGAGAAGAGGAUCAAGAAAAGUGCCCCAAAUACCAAAGCUCUUCGGCUUGCCAUCUUUGUUAUGUUUAUCGUAUGUGUAUUCUCUGUCAAAGUUGUUGAGCCAGUACCCGAACCCCAAAUUCCAGCAAGCAGGCUACAGAAACCUUCCAAAGCAAUGCCUCUGCUAACUACUCCAGGAGUUGGAGGCUUCGAACUGACUAGCAAAGAGGCAGAGUGAUAUGUUCCGACCUGCUUAGUAAUUGUAUCACAAGCAGCAAUGUAAGGGCCAUUAUCCUUAUUUCUUGUUCAGUGUCUUAAAUUUACAGAUAUUAAAAGUUAAAUAAAGUAUUUCCAUCACACAGUCCAUUUGAUACGAUAUUUUGGCACACAAUAAAUACUAACCGAAUCUACCGAAGCAACAAGUGACACAAUGAUCAUAAUCAAAGACGUCCGGAAAUGGAAGAUAGGGACACCCCACUGUAAAGGGUACGGAAUUCUGACCCAUGCAGCAGUUCUCCAUGCAUUUGAAGCAUCAGCUCUGCAAUGCUUCAUGGUAUAUGCAUGUUUUCUACACUCAUCAACUAAAAUGUUUGAACUGGGAAUGUCGGGACUGCAUCCUUUAUAAUCAUAAGCUCCUCCGGCUGUCAGAAAGAAUGCAUAUAUCCAUGUGAUUGUAACACUAAGAGGAACCUGCAGUGAUCGAACAAUGACAUGACGUCCAACAAAGAAUAUCCCUACCAAAAACAAAGAAUCUACCAUUUUCCUGGACAAACCAAAGUUGUUCAACAAAAUGAACUGCGGUAACUUUUUAAACACUUAAUAUUGUGAUUCUACUUCAACUAUGGUAGGGUAAGAAAGACCUUUCCUUGGGAAGCACUGCUAAUCAGCUUUUCAUGGGUAAAAAAAUUCAGCUUCCGUAAUGGCUGAUGGAACAGACACAAAUUAAUCCUUGAAUAGGAGUAGUGAAAGAAAGAAGAAAGAUUAUUCACAUGGUAGUUUUCAUCUUCUUCUUUUUUUUAAACUUUUAAGAGCAAUGUGACCUUAAUCAUUCUUAUGAAGGACAUUCCCACUCAGUUAGAUCUAUAUGACAAAUCCUUAUUACAUCCCAUUUCCGACUCAAUUAGACGAUGCAAUGGUUCAAAGAAUGUAUUGCUUGACAGUAAAAUAAGUUCAAUUUUUAAGGAAACUGAAUUAAAUAGAGCUUGGGGCAUUUUCAGGACAGAGGGGUCCUUUAACCACACCACAAAAAAACUAGAUAAAAACACCUUCACUGAUAACAUGAGGUGAUAAACAAUUGGUAAACAAUGGUAACAAAACAAACAUGACAAGAAGCAACAAAUUAUCUUGUCAUCCACCACUAUUAGGCUUUCAUCAUAAUGAAGUGAGAAACUUUUACGGCAGAUAGCCGGUUAGCUUUUAGCUGGUAGCUCAUUACCCCAAAGAAGGAACUCAAGAAAGGGUAGCUCGUGAGUAACACUAGAUAUUAAAAAUAAAAUUGAGGUCAAGGUUUAGAAAGUAUAAACAAGAUGAAGGGUGAGAGUACGUACUGCAUAUAUUCGAAACAAUCGGUGCCCAAAAAUGGAUAUUCCUCGAAGAUACUAGAAAAAAAAUGUAAAAUUGAGUAACUAUUUGGAAGACAUCAUUAAAAGGAAUAAUCAAAAUUAAAGUAUCAAAUAUGUUCAUAUGCUCAGUAGCUACCCAUAUUCAAUUUGUUUUGCUCAGGAAAUCACUCACCAGGGUACAUAUAAGAACCAACAAUAACAAGGGAACACUGACUUCUAUACAACUACCAGCUUGUGGAAAGCCAUAACUAAAGAAUGCUAAACCCACAGCGGCAACAGUUGGUGCAACCACAACUGGGUUAAUCCAUCUGCAAAGUGAGAUUAGAAUGAAACAGUUAACUCCAUAGGUGGUUUCAAAUUAUAUCAUUAACUAAAUGGUGUGCAGAUAGUUGACAUGGCAAUUUCUAAUGAUAUCCAUGAACAAGAAUUCUGAUAGAAUUACCUCAGUAAAAGAGACAUCAAUCCACUGAAUCCUAAGAUACUUUGGAAUAUUGAACCAACAAUAAUAGCUCCUUGCAGCUCUCUCAUUAUGUGCCUGAAUUUCUGCAUUAAAAGAAAAAAAAAAUGUAUUAUUGGAACUAGAGUCUAGAAAAAGAUAGUAUUGCAAGAAACACUAGUUUAAGCUUGCAAGACAUGAACUAGAGAUGCGCUCAAUCUUUUUACAGAUAGAGGAAAUUUUUUAUGAAAAUAAAGAGAUCACGUUCAUUAAUUUGACCAGAAUUUAGAGGAUCAAAGCCAUUUAUGGAGAAGUUAAAACUAUAUAAAAAAGAAAAGAUAUUGACAGCAGAAGGUAAAGCACUCAUUUUCCUCUGCUUACAUGUUCUGUGAGAUUUCUAUAAUCCCGAGCAUUGAUGAUAACUAGCGCUGGUGCCAGAUAGAUGAAUGAACUUCCUUGAACUAAUGGAAGCCGGGUGCCAAAGUAGGAGUGCAGAAUUGUACUAAUGCCAGAAACUAGCAGCAUUGUAGAAAUCACACUGGCAGUAUCUUUCUGCAAUGCAUAUCAGAAAUAUCACUGCAUUUCAUAUUCCAAUUCUGCUGCAAGUCAAGCAAUCAAUAAUUCCAUAGGAAAGGAAGCUUACAUCUGUUCCGCCCAUGGCUGGUACCAUAACUGAUGGAAUGAAUAUAAGCGAACCCGCCAAUGAUAAAAAGUGCUGCAGGCCAUAAUAUAUUAGUGCUCCUGUAGGUAAAGAUAACCGGAUGAGAACCGGUAGUGUGUACUGAUUUCUUCCUAGUUAUCCAGGACAUUUUAAGGAUUACGUGGCAACUACAAGAUUCAAGAACCCUGUAACUGCAGAAAGCAAUUCACGAUUUUGGUUUUUCAGUAGUUGGUAGCUACUGAAAGAUCAAUAAUAUUAUGUCCUUCCCUUUGGUUAAAGCCUCAAAUAUACCCAUGAUAUAAAUACGAACCAUGUUUGAAUUGGAUAUUUCAUAUAAAUGUUUGACAAUUUUCUAAGCUGACCAUGCAUUGAUGAGUCCUUUUUUACUUUCACAAAUCACAAGUGUAAAUGAAACAAAAAAACUAUAGCAGAACUAUCCAAGUUAGAACAUUAAGUCUAGAAAAAUCCAAACGCUCCAUCUGCGUGGAGAAGUUUGCUGAAAAAAGUAGAACUUUUUCAAUUUUCAUUUUUCUAUGAGCUUCUUCAAUUUUUCCUAGCUCUUACAGUAUCAUUUUCUAUGCUCUUUAAAAAUACACACCAAGCCAAGCCAUAGGAGACAUUAUCGCCAUAUCAACUCCAGCUUCUAGCUUCAUUCAGAAAUAUAAUAUCCACAUAGCUCGGAAAUCUAAAGUAAAUAACAGCCUACUUCAGCACUAGCUAACAUUAGUCGGUUCCAGCAUUACGAAGAAAACAGUAAUCAAUUCAUCUUCAACAAUGAACAUAAACAAACAAAAAGAAAAGUUGGAAAAAAGGAAACUAACCAAAACCCGGAUUAUCUCUCAACCCAACCUUCAACCCGGGAUGAUGACCAUUCCCCCCUUCAUGACCCUGCUCUUCACCUUCUGGAUACAUCCCAAUUUCCACAUCCCUUCCACCCUUUCCUUCCUCAUCCUUCUCUUCAACAACUAGUGGUGUAACACUUGCAACUCCAUUUCCUUUCCCAUUCCCAUUCCCAUUUUCCACCCCAUUCCCGUUUAACCCAACUUUCCUUUCCUCAACUUUCUCUCCCAAACCAUUCCCAUCUGCAACUGUCUUCCUUCCUUGUCUGGAUCCGGACCCAGAACCUGAAUCCAUUUCAAUUUCAACACCCAUAUUGGGUCUAGUCCGGCCCAAAACCGGAUCAAUCUCUAUUUUCGGAGAUGACCCGCCUGCUCUUUGAUCACGGCCACUUUUUCCCACAUGAAACCCAGUGGAACUGUCGAAUCUUUCAGUAGAACUAGCAGUGCCGGUUUCUCCAGAUAAGUGAGAGACGAAACCGGUUCUUUUAGCCCAAGAUCUUAACUCUCUUGGGUUAUGGUUUUGAUCUUUUUUAGGCACAAAAGGUUCAAUCUUUGGUAACAUUGAACCAAGCUUGUUGCCUCUUCCAUUUGAAGUCUCUGCCUUGUCUAGUGAAUCUGAGUUCGACCCAGUUUCCAUUUCAGCUUCUUCUCAAAUGCGUACCAAUUCUUUCCCCACACACACAAAAAAAACGAAUGACUAAUAAAAGGACCUCAGUGAACUACCAAGAAAAUCGAGAAAAAAAUAAAAGAGAGAAGGAAAUGUAGAAACUAAGUAAAGGCAGAUCGGUGCAGGGAAAGAUGAGAAAUUCAGAGGAAAAUAGUUUGGUAUGUUUUUGUUUGUAUUAUUAAGGAAAUUGGAAAGUAGGAACUGUGAGUGUGAAAAGUGAGGGAAUUUGUUUAUUUUAUCUUGUUCACUUUUUUUGGUUCUGCUUUCUUCUUCAUUGCCGCUGGCCAGUUGCUAUCAGUUGAAGUUUAUUAUUGCAAAUUACCCAGUUGCCACUGUAACGGCAAAAUUGAAUCCAGUCCUUCCCUUGUCCUUUUAUUUCUUUUUCAACAAAAAUCCGGCAUAAAUGGAUUUUUUUUCAUACCUCCAUCCACUUCCAAUCCAAUGUAAAUUUCUUAGUUUUUUAACUAUAAAUAUGAUCCAAAUUAAAAUAUGUGCUAAACUAAUAAAUGUAAAACGAGAUUAGAGAUUAAAUUAAUAUAAAAUAAUGUUUUUCUAAAAUAAGUUAUGAAUUGAUUUUAAUAUUUAAUUGGAUACCUAAAUCAAACAGCAUCAUGUAAUAUAAUAAAUACUUAAUUGGGUUACCAUUUAAUUUAAUUUUAAUAAAAGAAUAACUAAAUAAAUUGAUUUCAUGUGAGACUUACCAAAUAUUUUCACCGAGCAGUUUUGUGUAGACUAAUAUAAUAAUUCAUCAUAUAAACAAUACAAUCAUUUGAAUCUAUUUGUAAAUGUAAGUUACCAUCAUCAGAAUCACAUUUUAUUUUCCUAUUUUUGUGAUAUUGACUUAUAUUCCCCUACUUUAUUUUCUUUUUCCUUUGAAAAAUACUUAUUAACAAAUUUUAAAGUGAUGAAAUGAAAUUUCUAUCAACUAUUUAUUGAAAUAUAAAAGGAAAAAUUAGGCACAUGCCAUUUUUAAAAUGAAUUUAAUAAAUUAAGUCGAUUUUUCUUAAAUUUAGGAAAAUAAAUCGAUUUUGCAAGAGGUGAUUUCAGCUUCUCUCUCCUGUCACAUCAGCAUAAUCGUUUUGACUUUUUUUAAUUUAAUUUAUUACUAAUUUUUGAAGGGAUAAAUAUCGAAAUUAUAAAUGAACUCUGAUUCAAUAUGUAAUAUUAUACAUAAACUUUGAUUUUGUACAAUUAUAUAUAUGAAAUUUUGUUUGAUUCAUUUUUUAUUUUGUAAUUUUAUUAAAUUAGCAUUAUUUUAUAUAUUAAUACAAAUAAUAUAUUAAUACAAUAUGAAAAUAAAUAAAUAAAUUUAUUAAUUUAUUUAGAUGUGUACAAUUGAAUCAAAAUCAAAGUUUUAUAUAUACAAAUAAACCCUAAUUCAAGUUUACUAGGUAUAAUUGUACAUUGAUAUGAAGUUCAUGCAUAAAUUUAAUAUUUAUUCCAUUUUUAAACAAAUCAUUUGAAUAGCUCGGAUUCAAGGUUGAUAUAAUUUUUAUUUAGAAAAUUUUAACUGCAAUCUAAUUAGGUUUAUGAAUACUUUUGGUAUAAAAAAUUACUAAAGUUAUUAGGAUUUGAAUUUUAAAGUAGAUGUUAUUUUUAAAUUAUUAACUUUUAUUGUAUAAGAGAUAUUUAAAAAAAAACAAAUCGAACAAAUUUAAACUGAUUUCGAAAAUAUACAAUUAAGCUUAUAAAAUUUAAUUCAAAUUAAUUUAAUUAUCUACAAGAUUCAAUUCGAUUUAAAAAAAAAUAGAGAUAUUUCAAAUUUUCAACCAACAAAAAUAAUUUUUAUUUCUUUAGAAAAUGUGUUUAAUUGAAAAUUUUAAAAACGAUUUUUGAAAAACAAUAAUAUAUAAAAUUUAGAAAAUACAAAAAAAAAUAUUUCCAUUGUUUUGGCUAAAAAUACUUUACAAAGCUAAAAAUAAUGAAAAUAAAGGGUUAAACUAAAGUCAUAUAAAAAAAAAAAAAACCAAAACGGAGAGAAGUGAAAAACGCUCCCAAUAAAAGACGCUUUCAGUUUUUUUUUAAAUCGAAAUAUUUAUCUAAACUUACUAAAUUCGUUUUAAAAAUCACAUAUAUACCUAAUUUUUUCUUAUUAUUAUAAACGUGAAGAGGAAGAUUACUUAGAAUUCAGGAUUUGUAAAGGAUAGCUUUUUGAUUAGCAAAUAGAAUUGGAGAAUUACAAAAAAGGAUUAUGGGUCCCAACUCCCAACUCUCUCUACUUUCUUUUUCCAUUCUCAAUUCUUAUUCGUCACUUCAUUUAUACAUUUUAGCUUAAUCUUUACUUUUUCUUUCCUUCCUUUUUCAAGUACACAAAAAGUCGCUGUUUAAAUAAUAAUAAAUAAAUAAAACCUUACAGUCAAUUUCGUUGACAUGGACGUGCAGUUGCGGUUAUCCACUACAUUCUUUAAUUAGAUUUUAAUUUUUAAAUAGUUUUUUUUUCAAUUUUAUCAUUUUAAUUAAAUUUAUAUAUCAAUUUUUUUUUAUAAAUUUAUUACAUAAAUAUUUUCAUGUGUAACAAAAUCUAAUAUCGAAUUUAAAAUUUUGACAUAUAAGAAAAUAGCGGUUAAAAUUGAUUUAAUUAACAUAAUUAACGCAUUUGAUUUUUCCGAUUUCUAGUUGAAUAAAUUAAAAAUUCAGUUAAAUUAGUUAAAAUUAUUAAAUUAAUUAGGUAGGAAAAAUAAACUCGAAAAAUCAGUUGCUUACACUUAAUCCAUAUUUAUAACAUAUUGUAGCUUAAAUUUUUUUUAUAAAAUUGUACAAACCAACUCUAUUAAAUUUUUUAUUCUUUUAUGUUCGUCCUUAUACAAUUUAUAUUGGCGUGAAAAAUUAUUAAAUGUUUUUAUUUGUUGCAUUUAUCAAAAGUUUGGACUUUAUUGUUGAAUAGCCCUUUCAUUUGAAUUAUUUGUUUGGAAGGCCAUUUGGCCGACAAAUUAUGAAUUUAUUAUCAAUCACUAUAGAAGAAGAGCAAUAUAUACCUCUUUGGGUUGAUAAUUACAGCACCACUACUGCCUUGAAUCAGAAGCAUCAAUAAUAGAUGAUUAUGUUUUAACUUUUUCACUUAAUACUGAAAUUAUUAUUAUCUUGACAAUUUAAACCAUUGAGAAGAAAAUCUAUUAUUUUAGUGUAAAUUUAGUUUAUACCAUUAAGUGAAUUUCUUGCAUAUUCACAGUAAUACUAUUUUAUAGAAAGAAAUCUGAAAAGAAUUGUCCGCAAUAUCUUUGUUAUGCGCCAGAUCGGUUCAACUACAUGUAAAUCCAAGGCUUGAAUACUGAAACAGAGUGACAUCCUGGAAAUAUGCAUGUUCUUCCAUGUCAUCUCCAAUCAUAGGAUGUUAGCCCUGGAAAUAUGCAUGUUCUCUGAUUCUAAUAGAAAACUUGUUUGAUAAGGCGGAAAUAUUUACUAUCAGCUGACUUAUUGGACUCCUUUCAAUAGUUCCGACGAGAAGAAAACCACUGAUGCAAAGAGUUGCUUCCUUCUGCGAAUUUAUACAAAUCGAAAAGAUGAAAACGAUAUGGCGAGAAAUAAUAGCCAAUGCAGCAUUUUCAGUCAAAACAACAUAUAUAAGCAUCUAAUUAAAGCUCGGAAACACCCGGUUCGCAAGUCAUGAGGAAGAACUGCACUAUGGAAUUCAACGGAGCUAAGGAGAUGAAAUUAUAAGUCCAAAGCUUCAUCCCAUUCCAUAAAAAGCUAUUGGCAGAGACAUUUAACUGUGAGUUGUGAUUGACAAUGUUUGCAGUAUUGUCUGUAGGCAUACUACCAAGAAUGUCAAGAUAGAUUUUCAAAAGCAAAUAGAUGCAGAAUUCGGGUUUCUUCUGAAUUAGAACUAAGGUCGAACAUGAAUUGUUACCAGAAACUACAAGGGACUGCUCCGAAUGAAACAAUAAGGUUGGAAGGAAGAAUGGUGCCAUAAUGGCAGCAAUAAUAGUCAUUUGGACAGUUUGCAUUAACGAUUGCUGAUCCAUUUUCUCAGAAUCAUAGAUACCUACCUCAUAAUAUCCUAACACUUCCCUCUAGCCGUUAAUGAACAAGUAUGCAUCAAUGGUUAACUACCAAUUACCUCAAAAUGGUAGAUAACCUCAUAGUAUCCUAAUACAUUAAUCUUGUUCAUUAAAAUGCAUGUUCCAUACAGGCUUUCUAUUCCAGUGAUGUAUGCUGCAAGGAUUAUGUGCAGUGACUAUGCAAGCACGCAAUAGGAUGUAGCACCAAUUUCAUGAUGUUGCAAUUGUAACAUGAGUUCUAUCGAACCCGGUUUCAAUAAAACAAAGCAGAAUUCUUGAUAAGUUAUACUUGUCUCGAUAGCUUCCAAGUACAGACAGUAAAAGCUUUAGCUUACAGUCAAGCACAAAAAAGGCAUGAAGAACAAUCCGAACUUAUUCACAAAAACAGAUUUAAACAUAUUCUAGCCUUUAUUUCGAAGAAUGGGGAGCAUUUAAAGACACCAUAAAUCCAAUCAACUAGCCUUAGAAAUGAUCCACCACCAAUUAAAAAAAAAGGGAUUGAGCAGUUACCAUACAAAAACCCAUUUGGCAGGUUCUUUGAUUGCACUCGGGAGCUGGUUACUGGGGCCAUUUACAAGCUCCUUGUAACCACAUUUAUAACAAGGAACGAGAACAGCGUAUCCACCAUCAUCUUCAUCACCAUGAAAGCCAGGGCCGAGGGGUUCUUCCCACCCAAUGGACCAUCUGAUUCAUAUCCAGACAAAUGUAUACCAUCUGAUGGAACCACCACAACAUCAAAUUCUUUAUCAAUGACCCUCCUCUCCUCACUGCCUUGCCACUUUCCAUUUCCGGAUAUUUUUGUUUGGAAUUUAACAGUUUCAGCUCCCCAAUCAGAAGAAGAAUUCCCAGAAUUCAGAGAAGCCCCUUUUACAACAGGUUGUUUCUCUUUACUUGCACCACGGCUAAAUCGCCAUGGAAAAAAAGGAAAAGAAACUGCCAUUUUUCUUAGUAAUCUUAAGACUCCACAAAACUGUUCUUUCUUUAAGUCAAAAUUGCAGUUAACCUCUAAAUUAGGAAAUAGUUCAUUGAGUGUGAUAACUUAAAAACAACAAGACCAAAAUUUGAGAUGAUAUUAAUUGGAUCCAAAAGCUCGUAAAUUAAGCUCAAGCAGAACAGUCUGCUCUAUAGAUAUAUCUUCAGAAAAAAAUCAAACUUCAAACUUCAAACUUCAAACUUCAAACCCCAACAUCAACAUCAACAUCAAACGUCCAAAUUCGCUUACGUGGCUAUCGUAAAAUCCAACGUGAAGCUACCAAUUGUAUUUGCCUGUAGUCUCUUAUCUUAUUUCCUGUUUGGUUGGAAGACAAUUCCUGCAUAUUUUCCACAUAAACAGCACCAUUUUUGCAUGGUACCUUUUGAGUUUCUACAACUGCUUCCAGUGUUCAAAUCAUGCAAAUUACUUGCCAUCAGUAUCUGCAACAAUUUAGUAACUUGAAUACCUUGAAAAGUUGUACUUCCAAACUGCUUCAUCUUCUCCAAAUAAAGAAAGCUUUUCAUUGCACAAAAUUACUUACAGAUUCACUUUCAAGAAUUGCACUCAUAUAUCUAUCACAUGUUCCAAAGAUCUGCCACGUCUAUGACAAUGAGAUGCUUGACCAGCAACUUGCUUCGUCUUUCAAUGAUAGCAACAGAAUGUGGUUUAUACAAUGCCAGCGGAUCAACUAACUGUUUGAUUGCUUGUUUGUCUAAUUCUGUAUCCAAUCCCUAUAUUCUUCAAACCUUUCAAAUCUUGCUUCUUUGAUUUUUUAAUUAUAGAAAAUUAGUUUCUUUGUUUUUAACUCUUAUUUUCUAUGCCUAUGGCUGGGGGACCGUCGUGGAUCACUUGCGGUGCCCUUCGACCAGUACUGAUAAACUAACAGUACGAGCAUAGGAAACUUAGAAUCAGCUAUAAAAAUAGCACACAUCCCACACUGGUAGGAAACAAAGGCCAACACCCCGAGUGCAAUCCUAUAAACUAGUGAGGAGUGCUUAGUUGGAUCACGGAGCCGUGCAGUGAGCGCAGAGCGAACUAUUCUUUCGCCUUUUACUAAAGAAUACCGUGUGCUCGCUGCUAUUAGCGGCAUACGUCAAUUUCUGGAGGGCUCUUCAUAUUGGAGAGCUGCAACAAUUCUAGUUUAAACUUCAUAUGGUGUUGCUUUCACUUCAAAGAACCCUUACAGAAAUUCAUUUUUGUAACUAGGGUUAAUUAUUUAAGUAGGCACUUUAAUUUUUCUGAUAAAAAGAAGAUUUUCAUAUCUAGUGAAAAACAAAUAGACUAAUUUGUUUAUAUUAGUAUAUAAAGGAUUCUGCAAAAUAAUGGUCUCAAAUAACUAAGAUGCAUUUUCAUUACUUUUUUAAUAAUCUUUACCAAUUUAAAGGUACAGAGAAAAUCAAUUGUGAAUGUUGAUUAAAUAUGUAUUAAAUAUUAUAAAGUGAAAAUACGAAUUAUUUAAAUUGCAUAUAAUAAAAUUAUUAAAAUUUAUAUAUACGUUACCGCAAAAAUUAAAAUUCAUAAAAAUAUAAAAUAUCUUAAAUAUAAUUAUGAAACAUAAGUUUUUUUUUAGAUCAAAUUAUUAGUUCCUAUUUUUAUGAAUAAAUUAUAUAUUUAAUCAUUGUAUUCUAGUUUAAUCACUUUUUAAUCAUUAGUUUUUAAAUUUAGAACUUUGUCCAGAUUCAAACGAUAGUAGUAAUUUCAUUGGUAAAAAUUUUCCAUUAAUCUCAUAGUAUACUAAGUACUAAGUAGUACAUUUAGCAUAUAUUUUAAUUUAAUAAUUUUAAUAUUUAAAUUUUUUUAAAAUAGAGUUCUAACUAAUUAUAAAAUUCAUUAAUUAAAAUAAUAUAAUGUUUAUGAAUAUUAUAUGAAAAAUUAAUAUCACACUACAUAUGUAAAAAUAUGUUUCUCGUGUAAUAUUUUAAAAAUAAUAGAAUGAAUUUAAACUACCAUUUAAAUCCAAAUCACGGUUUCAAAAUUCGAUUAAAAAUAUCAAAAUAAAGUAAAAUUUUUUACCUGAGAAAGUUAAAGCAGCGAGUUAAAAAGCCCAUAGAUAGUGGCCCACUUAGCCCAAUCCAACCUUUACUACCUAACGGCUAGUCUCAUUUAAAUUCUAACGACGUCAAGUCUCCGUUCAAUUAAUUUUAAAUUCACGGCAUCCAUCUCUUAACGGCUCCUUUUGAAUCAUAUAUCUGUUUCUUUCGUUCACUUUCUCUUUUUUUCUUCCAUUUUCGUACAUAUUUUCUCUCCGUAAUCUUUCAAUUCUGAGAAACAGAAAAUUACCAGAAAAAAUUAGACUUUGGCGGAAUCCCCAUCAGAUGACGAAUCUAUUAUCUCUAAACCAGGUACAUUUCUGGGUUUUUCUUAUCUUCUAGUUCUUUUUUUUUUUUUUUUGCUCAGCUAUUUUUAGUUUUUUAGAGAAAGACUUUGAGAAACCACUCAACCUUCCAUUAAAAUAACAAUAAAAGAGCCAAGGAUCAAAUGUAGGAGAAAACUGAUAACUAAGUCCUUUUAGCCUUAGUCCUCUUGAAUUUAAGAAAAUAAUCAUUUUCUGCUUGUAGGUUUUUUUUUUUUUUGCAUUGUGAAGUUCUAAUUUGAAAUAUAUACAUAUUUAUUUUGUUGUUAUGUAGCUUUAGAGUUUUUUUUUAUAUAUAUUUUUCAAUUUACAUUUUUUUAUAAUUAGAUUUUGUAUUAUUUUCUGCCCUCCGUUUGUUUCCCCAGAGAUCCAUAGAAAAGAAAAUGACAAUUCGGUUUAAAUUCCUAAAGAAUUCUGAUGGAUUAUACUUUUAUAUGCUCAUAUAUAUUAUGGUCAUUUUCACUCCUAAAAGAUCUGUGCUUUGCUUACAAACAGGUGUAACUUUUUAACUAUAUUUUCCGGGAAAAAAAAUGGCAAAGGAAAAAGUUUAUGAAGAGCUAGGAGAAGUUAAAGUUCAGAACGAAAAGUUAAGGGAAGAUUUCAUAAGCAAAGCUGAAUUAUGUGAGCACUUGAAGAAAGUGCAGAAUGAGCAGGUAACGAAGAUCCGAGAAGCGAGUUCCAAAAUCGAGAAGUUGGCACAAGAGCUUCUUGAAAAAGAAGAAGAAAUCACGACAGUAAAGCGAUCAAAUGAAGAACUUAAAUGCAUCCUGAAUGAAAAAGAAUCUGCUGUCAAGCAUUUGAAUGUUGUAAAUGAGAAGCUGAGAGCUGAGCGUGAUGAAAGGAAUCGGAAAUCGGAGCAGGAAAAUCGAAGGUUGGUAUUGGCUUUAGAUGAAGCAAAUGAGGUGAAUAUAGAUCAAGAACAAAAGAUUAAUGUGCUUAAAGCCGAGAUUGAAGGUCUAAAAAUGGACCUAUCUGUUUCAAAGAAGAAGUGUUUAGAAGCCGAGAAGGCAGCCAAAAAUCCAAGGGUGCUGAGGGAAAGAGAAGAUUUGUUAAUCAAAGUAGAGGAAGAGAAGAGCAAGGUUGAAGAUCAGCUAAAAUGGAAGAAGGAGCAGUUCAAACAUUUAGAAGAAGCCCACGAGAAGCUUCGGGACCGGUUCAAAGCAAGUAAGAAAGAGUGGGAGCAAGAAAAAUCUGCAUUGCUCGAUGAGAUUUCUUCACUGCAGACAAGGUUAGAUUCAGAGAUCCGAGUAACGAGAGACCUCCAAAACCGGUUACAGGUGUGCAAUCAAGCCUUAUCUCGUGAAGAAACCCGAAGAAAGCACCUUGAAGUUGAAGUUUCGGAGUUCAAAACACACUAUGAAAACAUUUUCUCGGAAUGCCAGGAUGCAAAAUCACAACUGGACUGCUUGAAUUCUCAGAGGGACAAUGAAGUUGCGACUUUGAGACAUGUAUUGGGCACGAAGGAAUCGUUUUAUAAGGAAAUGGAAUAUCGAUCCGGAAAGCUGGAACAAGAAAACCAAGAGUUGCUGACAUCCCUCAAAGAACUCCGGGAAGCUAGAAUUCAGGAAGCUGGAAGUUCCUCGUCUCUUUCAAAACUGAAAAACAAGCUCAGAAGUGUGGAGCAGAUGCACAAGGACUGUUCAACAAAUCUUAGAGCUAAAGAAGCCGAAUGGAACUCUCAGCGGGAGGAAAUGACUAGGAAAUUAAACGAUUACAGCUCUCAGUUACAGAGUAAAGAUGCCGCUCUUAAAGUUCUCGAGAUGGAACUUGAAGGUUGCCUAUCUUCAGCUGUACAGUUGAAAUUGCAGAACGAGGAGAUUUCCGUGAUGUUGCUAGUAUUGAAGUCGGGAAUGUCAGAGGCUCGACUGAAACUUGCUAAUGUUGAGGCUGAGUUGGGCCUCCAUGAGAAAGAGAGGAUAGAGGAGCUUUCUAUUCUGAAACAGCAGCUGGAGAUGAAAGAUACUGCUUUGGCCGAUGCUCAGAAAGACAUUGAGGAUGAAUGUGAGAGGACAGCGAUUUUAUCCAGGAGGGUUGAUACUUUAGAUCAACUUGAGGAUAAGCAUCAGCUAAUGGAAAAAGAGCUCAAUAGAUGUAAAGAAAUGCUCGAGGAAUCAUCGAGGUGUCAACUUUGGUUGAAAGAACAAGCUUUGCAGGUGGAGAAUGAUUCAAAAGAAAAAAUUCGAGAAGUCUAUGAUGCUUUAGAUGCACUGAAUUCUGAACUGGCAGAAGAACGGGAGAAUGUAGCAUCUUUGUUAAGGAGAGUUGAGUCCUUGGAUCUUAUCGAAGGACAGCGGCUCCUGCUGCAGAAAGAGCUCGAGAAGUGCAAGGAAAUGCUCGAGGAAGCCGCUAAGUCUCAAAUACAGUUCAAAGAGCAAGCUUUGCAGAUGGAAAAUGAAUCCAGAGAGAAACUUAGAGAAGUUUGUGAUGCUUUAGAAACAACGAAAUCUGAAUUAACCAAAGAACAAGAGAGAACAGCUUCGUUGACGAUAAGGGUCGAGUUUUUAGAUCAGAUUGAAGAGCGGUGGCUCCAGACACAGGCAGAGCUUAAGAGGUAUAAAGAAAUGCUCGAGGAAGCAUGUAGGCGUCAAUGUCAGUUAGAAGAGCAAUCUGUGCAUAUGAAAAAUGAACUCGGGGAGAAACUAAAAGAAGUUUCUGAUGCUUUAGAAACUGCAAACAUUGAAUUGGCUGAAGAACGUGAGAAAACAGCUUCGUUAAUGAAGCGGAUUGAAUCGUCAGAUCAGUUGGAAGAACAGUUGGCCCUGAAGCAGAAAGAACUUGACAGAUACAAUGAACUGUUAGAGUCAUCCAGGUGCCAACUUCUAUUAGAAGAGCAAAUUUCUCGGACUGACAGUGACUCGGAAAGGGAACUGAAAGAAGUCCGCAAUGCCUUGGUGAAAGCAAAUUCUGAACUGUCAGAGAAAACUCGUGAAGGACAUGAACUCAAAUUUGAAUUGUGGAUAUGGGAAUCAAUCGCUGAGCGGUUAAAAGCCAAGCUUGAAGAAAGUCAGGCAUUGCGUAAAGAAUUAGAAGCUUCUCUUCUUGCACAAAUGGAUGUGGAGGAAAGUAUCAAGAAAGAGAAAGAAGACCUUGUCCGUAUAACCGAAGAAAAAGAUGGGAGAAUAGUUAAUCUCCAGCAGCAAAUGGUGUCACUAGUGCAAGAGCACACAGCUAGAGAACUAGAAGAAGCAGCCAAUUCGGCAGAGGACAGCGUUCAUCAACAGACAAGAGAACACGAAGCUGAAUUGGAGGCAAAGCAUAUGGAAAUGGAGGCUUUGGUCUAUGAACUCAAGGGUGAAAACAACACCAAGUUGUCAACAGACCGCGAAAACCUUCUUGGAUUUGUUACGAGCCUAGGUGAUUGGAUCAGCGAGUUCUCCGGUGAAGACGCUAAGCUGAUGGGGAUUUUGGGGAGGAUAGUGCAGUCUUUUGACAAUUGCAUUUCAGACAUGAAAGGUAAUGAUGAACUUUAUGACACUCUCAAGGAAAACAAGAAGAGUCUUAUUUCUUCUCCAGCAGCUAGAAAACCUGAUUCUCUUGUUGAAGAAAGAUCACCUUUUAGAGAGCUCAACUAGAAAUUAUUGAUUUCAUUUUCCUUUUCGGCUUCUGUAUAUGGAUAAAUUCGUGCAUGUAUUAUCUGCCAGUAACAGUUUACCACUUAACAUUCAUUGUUUCAUUUUUAAAUAACAAGAUAGCAUGUUUCUAAUGUAAUUUACCUUGUACGAUUAUCUACUGCAUCAGAUAUGGGUAUAUACAUAUAUAUAUAUAUAUAUUUGGCAGGUUUUUAGAGUCAUAUCCGUCCUUGCUCCUUAGUAUAGAUUAAUAUUUCAAACAAAAUAAAUGUACUUUUUGCGGAUUUAUAUGAUUUAAUUCAAUUUUCACAAAUUACUAAUAAUAUUAUCGAAUUAGCACCAUUUUAUGUUAAUAAAUUGCAUACACAAAUAAUUAUAUUGAUUCGAUAUGAAAAUAAAUAUAUGUAUUUGUUUAUUUAAAUGAGUACAAUUGAAUCAAAAUAAAAAUUUUAUGAAUACAUAUAAACCAUAAUUCAAAUUUACAUAUAUAAUUACACCAAAUAAAAUUACACAUUAAAUUAAAAUAAUUCACGUAUAAACUUACAUAUUUAUCCCUUUCUAAAUUCUCUAAUGUUUUAGAUCAUGAAUGACGACAACACCUGUCCUGCAUGCCAGCUAGGAGAAACGUGAUCCUGAUGUAAGAAAGCUCUAACCAUGGAAUGACAAAAACACCCUCAUAUCCUAGUCCACCAUGCAUGUCCAACAGUGGUAUUUUAAAUUUUACGGAAAUUUAUUUAUUUAAUAUAAAUAUUUAUUUAAAAGAAUUAAAUGAAUUAUAGCGUAUAGAUUCUAUAACUGGCAAGUGGCAACACAAUCCAUAAAAACAUAAACCCUUAUAUUUAACCGCACAAAAUAUUUCUUUAGUUUUUCGGUUCUUCCCUGUUCCGAGUCUGUUCUGUCUUGCCGCCUCCUAAGAAUCCGAUCCGAAUCAUUUGGGUUUACCCAAUAUUUCGCCCGUCGUCCGACCAUUUCUACUUAGCGGCGACGUUCUAUCGCCAAAACCGACCCUUAAUCCCAACCCCAAUCGUCCAUUCUCUUAAAAGACUUAAACCCCAAUGACUGAUAAAUUCACUUUUUGUCAAAAAGUUGCUAACUCAUCUCAAAACAAUGGUCAAACCAUCCACAAUAAGUCUGCAGAAGACCAAAGACGGGAAACCCAUUCUUUAAACAUGGGUUUCGAUCAAAAGAGAGGUGUAAAGCGAGGGAAAAAUGGGAAAAAUGAGCGGAAGAAAGGUCCUGGAGAGACGGGAAAUGUAAAGGGCUCAUUUUGGACUGCAUGUUCCUACUGCUAUUACAAGUUCGAGUAUGAGAAGAAGUAUGAAGAGUGCCGCUUGCGUUGUCGGAACUGUAGAAAAGGAUUUCAUGCAGUGGCGGUGGCGCCGCCGCCGGAAGGUUUAGCUGUGAAAUAUAGUUCUGGUAAUAGUUCAAUGGGUGACAAGAAGGAAACCAGACGGCGAGGUAAAGGGAAAAGGCAUGAUGUUGUGGAGAUUUCUGAUAGUGAUGAUGAGAAGAAGGAAUUGGGAGUGAAAAUUGAGGCUAAUAAAGUGAAAGCAGAAGGUUUCAACAAUAGUGAAGGUAGUGUUGUAAUGAAGAGACUAAAAUCUGUGGCAAGGAAUACAAAGAAAAUUGCAGGAAGAGGGAUAAAGAUCAAGAAAGUUGAGAAUGGAAUUGCAGAUGGUUGUAAUGAAGAUGAAGUGGAGGUCGUUGAUGAUAUAUUUGUUGGUUUGAGAGAUAUUAGCUGAUGGGAAAUCAAUGGUAUUAAGGGAUCCCUCACCAUAUGCUUGUAUGAUUCCCAACAGUAGACAGGUUAACAUGAAAGCAUAAUGUAUGCUUAUGUAGGCUAGUUUAGCUGACACUGUUGUUUACUAGCCUCAUUGUUGAAAAAAAAAUGCAGUAGUGAUGGCAUGGUUCUUGAAUCUUGACCAAAUUGUCGUUAUUUCAUCGCUAUUAAUUAAUGGAAACUGUGUUAUGGUUCUUGAGCAUGUGUUUUGAUGUUAUGUUUUAACUAUUUGUUCUUGAAGGGAUUGUUAUUCUCUGUUUUGAUGAUUUGUAUGUUAGAAGGGGCUUGAUUGAUAGUGUCAACUACUUUUUCUUUAACUGUUUUUGUAGGAUUUAGAGGACAGUUAUAUUUACUUGUGAAGCUGUUUGGCUUGAAUAAGAAUUCAAGCAGAAAUUUCCUGAUAAUCUCUCUCAAGCUUUGCAAGCCCAGUGUUAGCUUCUUUUGUUCAAAUGAAGAUUGACCCUUGGAUUAAAUCUAUGUUACUUGGAUUAUUUAUUUUCCUAAAGUACCCAUGUGUGACACAUAUUCGGAUAUGGGUACAGGUACAUCCUCCAAUAUAUGUAAUACUUAUGUUGGGCAUAUUCCUAUAUUCAACACACUCAAAAUGUCUUUCUGUGUUAUAGACUGAAUUUGUGGAUGCUUAGAAAUGGUGUCCUAGACACUGUCAUUGAUGUCCUAGACUGAAUUUGGUCUUCAUUCAUACAAAAAUUUCAGAAUGUCAGCUAUAGAAUUUCCAAUACUUCUUUGACUCAUACUGAUACUGCACUUAUAGAGUUUGAUAUUCCUAGAUGGUGAAAUCUAGCAUUUUGUCAUGUUAAGCUCUUCUUGUGCAUUUAUCUAUUAACAGAAUAUUCUUUUUCUGAAGCUAACUUUGAUUUUAGUUUAACUUGCUUAUGUUGUCAUGGCUGUGAGAGAGUUGGCAAUUUUUUUUUUAACUCCAGACAUGGAAUCAUAACAAAAUCAUGCAUAUUGGCCAAUAAAAGAAAAUUUCCUUUUUACAUGUUUUGUAAAUAAACUGUUCUUUAUAGUUUAUUUUCAUAAUUAUAUAUUUUUAGCUUAUUAUAUAGGCACGCAUGCAAAAACACACACAUACAUAUUGCACUUCACUUUGGCCUGAUUAUCAUGCAAAUCAUUGGAAUGUACUACUAAGGAUUAUCCUACACUGUGGCUAUUCCAAUUUUUUUUUUUUUUUUUUUUUCUGUGAAGAAUGAAUGAUAAAAUUGUGAAACAAACUUCAAGAUCAUAAUCAACAACUCUUAGAUACCAAUAUCUUAAAGAGUUAAAUGUCUAGAUUAUAUCAAAUAUUUCAUAAAAUCAGCCCAUGCUUGAUACAUUAACUCUCAUUUAUUAGCUUCGAUAUCUCUUAUUCUAUUUAUUGCGUGCAUAUGCCAUCUCGCUAAUAAGCAGUAAAAGGGAAAUACCUUGUUCAAUCUUGGAUCAAAAUCUCUCUUCCGAUCUACAAUCUUUCUUUCUACUGAACAAGUUCUACUGGAGGAAAAUCUGAGCUCCCCCAUGGUUCGUCUUAAACAGGUAACGGUUUACUGUUUUUCCCAUUUUCUCAUUUCUUAGUCGAGCAAUCUUCUUAUAAUCAUUUGUUUGUAUCUUCUGGUUUGUACCUACAGUUAGAACAGGAUAUACAACAGCAUCUCAGACGUUACCGUGCUUCAAUUUCCACCAUUGAUUUCAGCUUCAAAAGUUUGAAAAAGGUGACUAAACCUAAGGCUGAGGCCAACAUAGCCAAUGCCCUGAAACAUAAAACUGCUGAGAGGCAUCGAAGAAAGCGGAUCAGCCGACAGUUUGACAUGCUCCGAACCAUCCUACCGAACUUGAUCAAAGUAAGUGACGAAGAGAUUACAUAAAUUUAAUUACCAUUACAUUGAACUGUAGAUAUGAUAUAUUAACUUUUUGCAGAAAUUUUGUGGAAUUUUACUUAUUAAUAACAGCUUCCAUAAAACAUGGGUAUUGGGUUUGGGUUUGGGUUUAGGCCUGUUAGUUCAUGAAACCAUCUUUAAGAGGUGAUUGAGGUUUGAAUUUCAGCAUCUGCGGACCCUUCUAUUCCUCUAGUCUUAUGUUCCCAGAUUUGGUGCGAGUGUCAGCCAUAGAUAUUUAUCCUACACUAGUAUGCUUAAUUUGUUUCGCUCACUUUUUCAAUAUAUUAGAGGAUCAUACCCCCAAUCUUUCCAUGUAUCAGAUGCAAAUUUCAAAUACAGGUACUUUAAGAAAAAUGAAGAGUUCAGUAACAUAACCCUAAGCAACAGUCUCCUUUAUAAAAAUGAAAGGGUACUCAAGUCAAUCUAUUCAUUUCGUGCAACAGAUGGACAAGGCAUCUGUGUUGGGUGAGACAGUGAGGCAGGUAAGGGAGCUGAAAAACAGAGUAAAAGAAAUGAAAGGAGCUUCUGACGGAAGCUUGGAAUGUGUGCUCCCUGGUGAGUUGAACAGCUUAAGUUUUGGUUUUUCUGAAAAGGAUGGGAAUUUGGUAAAGGCUACAUUCAGCUGCGAUGACAGGCCAGAACUGAUAGCUGAUCUCACACGAGAAAUUAGGAAGGUGAGUGGGACGGUUGUGAGGGCUGAGAUGGUGUUUAUAGGAGGAAGGAAUAAAAGUGUGUUGUGGAUUAAAGGGUUUAGUGGAAAUGAACGGAUGGGGAUGCUCAAGAGAGCAUUGAAAAUGGCCAUAGAUAUACCUAAGAAGAAUUGGAACCCUCGUUUCAACAUCUGAUUAUUCUGUUGUGUGUGAAAUGGUAGUAAUUUCUAGCAGCUAUAAGGCUAUCGAAAAGGUUGGUUUUAUGAGUAUAUUUAAAGAACAAAUAAUGGUGAAUAGUGUGCUUUGUGUAUUCAAUUUCAUAGAUGUAGUUCUAUGACCUAGAACAACAGUUCGAAACACGACUGCCUCAAUUCUCAAAUUUAAUUAAUUUAUUUUCGUAAUAUGAUCUACAAGCACGACACAUUCGAAUGUUUCAAAACACUUACAAGUCGACAUCUUAAAUUUUAAACACAAUAGUUAUGAUAUGAUAAAAUACAGGUACAUGCCAAGCCUAGAUUUAGAUCACGUACCGAUCCUGCCUGUUCCUGGAAAGCUGAGAAAAUUGCAAAGUCGGUUUCACCGCUUAUAAAACACAAGUUCUCUGCUACAAUUGGUUUUGAUAGUCUCUUCUAAUUUCACAAGCCGAUCAAAAUCAACUUUGAAUGAAACCAUGGCGAUCCCAUCUUCGCCGGUAUCAUAAUCCUGUUUAAUGUCCUCUGGUACAAUUGUUUUGGUUGAAAUAAUUAUGCAUACGACUAACAGAAGCUAACGAUUAACCCUAAAAUAUUAAUUUACUUGGAAAACGAGGCAUAAUUCUAAUGCAAAACAAUGCUCACUUGACGGUAUAGAACUCGCGAGAGAUCGAAAGGAACAUCCACACCCAUUGGAACCUUUCGGAAAUUCCAAUCAAAUAUUAGAAUUUCAAUGUAUUGAAAUCGUAAAAUCUUCAAUUGUUUUCUUGCUUUAGAUUUGACAAGACAAAUCGGAGCAUUUCUCAAGCAUUCCGAUGUCACUCUACCGUAAGCCCUAACAAGUCCUACCGUUCCCAAUUUAAUUCCCCCAAAAGUAAUUAAUUUUACCUGAUGACGACCACAAUGACUUUAUCCAAACCCCAAAAAGGAACCGAAGAAUGAAUCGGCUUCCCCGCCGUUCCAGAAGGUUCACCGUCAUCACUCGACCGGUACUGAUCCCCAACCUAUAAUCCUUCUAACAACGUCAAAUUAUGAACUGAAAUUGAAUCAGAUAACCGAAGCUGCGUAUUAGAUACCUUAUAAGCCCAGCAAUUGUGAGUGGUACGGGGAUCCUUGACCUGACUGAGGAAAGACUGAGCAGAUGGUUAGUCGGAGAUGGGGCCAGCAAUGACUAUGAAUUUGGUCUUUUCUAUUUCCUUCUCGAAUGUUACUAUCUCUUGGAUUGUGGUAAAUGCGCCUCCAUUAGUGAUGGUGCUGGAGCUUCCGGCGGUGGUGACGGUAGGUUUUUUCUCUCUCGUUGCCGCCAUUAACCGUAUUCAAAUGGAAAGUCCAUUCACAUUUGGACAAAGCAUCGACAUCUUGUUGCCCAGUCUUUUAAAACUAUUUUGUCGUUAUUAUGUUGAUGGUCAAACCGCUUCGUAGUUCGAACAUUUUUUUAAAAUAUAUACAUCUCUCUUUAAGGUUUUAAAGACUAGCUUACCAAUGUUUUUAAAAAGUAUGAAAAGAUAUUUUUGAAAAUUUUAGUUUAAAAUUUGAGUGUUCAGUAUUAUUGUUAAAAAAUAUUUUUAAAAAAUAAAAUAUUUGUUUUAGACAUAUUAUUAUCAAAUAAUAAAUAUGUAUUUAAAUAAUAUUUAAAUUAAUUAAUAUUAUUAUAUUUUAGUAAGAAUAUAAAAAAAUUAUUAUAACUUGUUAAUAUUUGAAUAUGUGAAAUAGAAAUUUUAAAUAUUUUUAAGUAAUAAAUAUUAAUUAUUUAUAAAAUUUAAUUAGAUAUUAACACAUUUGUAUUAUUUUAAAAAAUAUUUUUUUAAUUAAUGAUUUUAACAUAUUUGUAAUUAAGCACCAAGAAAAAAAAUUAAAAAUAUUAUAUUAUUAGAUGGGUGAAAAAGUAAUUAAGCACUAAAAGUGCUUUUGGGAGAAGAAAAGCUAAAACUUUUAGAUUCUCAUUUACAUUUUUAAAUGUGCUUUUUAAAAACAAAAAAUUUCAGUUAAAAGCAGUUUGCUUAGCACAGAGCCCUAAGCUUUGUUAGGCCAAGUUGGAUGCCGUCUAUUUUGAAAGACAUAAAAAAUGAUAAUUAAAAUUUAUUUUUUAUAUUAAUAGUUGCACAUUAUAUAAACAUAUUUUUAUGGGUAAACUACACCAUAGGUCACUCAACUAUUGAUUUUUUUAAUUUGAUCACCCAACUAUUGGUCUUUUUUAUUGGUCACCCAACUAUCAAUUUUUUAGUUUGGCCACUCAAUUAAUCAAGAUUAUUAUUUUUUUGUCUAUUUCUAUAAAGUGUCACUAAAUCUCUGACGAGAGGGUGACAUGGCAAUUAAAAAAUUAGUACAAUAAUAAAAUUAGCCCUAAACUUUUACUUAUUAUAUGAAUUUAAUCAUAAUUUCAAAAAAAAUUAACCCUUAAAAUUUACCAAUAAUCUUAAUUUGAUCCUCAAAAUUUAUCUUCUUCUCCCGCUUCCCUCACUGCCAUUACCAUCAUUGUCUCCACCUCUACCACUACCUCCAACUAUCAAUAUUGUAAUAGCAAAAUCUGAAAUUGAUCUAAGAAUGGCAUGCUUAAGAUUUUGUCUUUAUUGUUGUUUGUGGUAGCUAGAAGUAAUAUUUUAGUUAAAGCAAAAUAUAUUUUAUUUCUUAAAAUAUUACACUAUUAAUAUUUUUAAUAAUUUAUUUCUCAAAAGCAUUAUCAAAUAUCAUGAAUCUUAAAAUUCUUAAAUUCAAUAGUAUAGCAAAGGAUACCACCUUCCCUUUUUUUAUACCUCUUUUAUCUAUUAUUUGGAAAAUAAGAGUUAAUUGUACUAAAUAUCUUUAAAUUUAUUUUUUAAUUUUAAAACAUUUUAAUUAUAUCUUUCAAUUAUCGGUUCUAUAUCAAUUAAGACAGUUAAAUAACAUGUCUAAUCUUAUUUGACAUAAUUUAAAAUAUUAAAAAAAUAAAACGUUACCAUAUAACUUUUAAAAGUUAAAACUAAAUAUAAAGUAAAAUAGAAAAAAUAGAGAACCAAUGAUAAAGCUUUUAUAAAAGCUUCAAAAACCUCAAAAUUGAGAUCUUUACAACAUUUAUUUUUAUUUAAGUUUUUUAUUUUAGAAUAUGUCACAUAAUAUUUGACAUCUUAUUUAACGAUUAAUUUAAUGAUUUUAGUAAUGGAAAGACUAUUAACACAACUUUGAUAGUUUGAAUAUGUAAUUAGAAUAUUAAAAUUUAUGAAUCAAAUUAAAAUGAAAAUUAUAGUUUAGAGAUGUAUAAUGCAAUUAACUCCAAAAUAAUUUCAUUAUUUAUGGCCUUAUUUAUUCUAAAAUGUUAACUAUUGCAAAACGCGAAAAUUGAGUACCAUAUUAAUCAGUACGUAAUGAAAUUCUCCGUACCAGCCAAAUAAAGGAAAGCUAAACAUUCUUUUUUUGAAUAAUUUCAUUAGAUGUUUUGAUCAUAUUUGUUCUUUUUUGACACAAUGUUUAAAACUACACAUAGCCCCUCUCAACCCAUAAAUAGGAGGAUAAUGCUUUUCAACGCACUUGAACCCACAUCCCCCUGCAUUGACAAAAUGUCCAUAUCAAUCGAGUUAAGACUCAAUAAACAAGGAAAGCUAAACAUUAAUUGGUAUGUAAUGAUAUUAAAAUUUUCCAAUACAUUUAAACAGUAAUGAUUAUUAUAUUAAAUAUUAAAAAAAAUGGAAUAGCUUCCCUUUUAUUAAACACAAGGUUUAAUAUUUGGUACUUAACACUAUUUCUUAAUUUGACAUUUAAUUUUUUUUUAAAAUUUAGUAUUUGAACUUACACUUUUUUAAUUUGAUAUCUGGAUUUGAUAUUUUUUUCUUUAAAUUGAUACUUAAUUUUUUGGGGUCCAAUUUGGUACUUAAAUUUGACUCUCUCUUUUUUAAUUUGAUGCGUAAUUUUUUUUCUUUUCUGAUUUGGUACCUAAACUUAUCAAAGAUUAUACAAAUUACUCCAAUAUACUAACAAUGUUAAUUUUUUUAUAAGGCAGCAAAAUAAUCAAUGUAUGACAAACAUAUGGCAAAUGAUAUGGUAUUUCUUUUUUGUAUUUUAAAUGUUCAAUUAUUUUUAGUUUUAUUUAUUUAUUUCAUUUUAUUAAUUUAAAUUAAUGAAUUUAUUUUAUUUUGGGUUUUUAGAACUCUUAUUUUCUUGUUCAAUAUUAAUCCGUUAAGUAUAGCUAAAUGCAUAUUUUUUUUAACACAAAUUUCCUCUUAUAUUGACGAUAAUUUUGUAACAUAGUAUAAAAUUUUUAACACCAUUAGUGUUUCGGGAUAAUUUAUAUAUCAUUUAACAAAAUUGGAUACCAAACUAAACCUAAAAAAACUUAAAUACCAAAUUAGCAAUUUGUUAAGUACUAAAUUAAAAAAAAUUAAGUAUAGAAACUAAAAUAUUAUACUAAGCCUAAACACAAUAUAACGGUUGCUAUUAGUGUAAGGAAUUCGAUAAGUAGAAUAAAUAGUAUAAAAAAAAUUAAAAGUAUUUAUUUCUUUAAUAACAUAGCUUUCCAAUAAUUUUAAAAAUUAAAAGUUUAUUAUUUAUGGAUAAAUUUCAUCAAUUAUAUUUCAAAAUAUACAUAUUAUUUGUUGUUUGACAUUAUAAGAUGUCUAAAAGGGUUAAAGAAAUAUUUUAUUAUAUUUAGGGGCUGGUGGACCCCACUCUCUAAAAUCAAUUUUUCUAUUUAGAUAUUUUAAAAUUUUUAAAAUUUUAAAUUAAUAAAAAUAAAAAUGUUGGCACACUUGGCAUACGUUGGCAACAAUUCGACGUUAUAUCAUUCAUUUUAAAUGAAAUAAAUCAUUUAAAUAUCUAAUUAAAUAAUUAACCAACUAAAAUAAAUUUUAAAAUUUUUUGAAUGACUUAAUGUUGCCAUUGAUGAUGGAAUAAACAAACUUUCCUAUAUGUAUAUAAUUGAUAUAUUAUUAAAAGGUUGAAAAGAGGUAAAGUUAAGAAUUAUUUCUGCCAUACUUCAACAAAAUGUCGGAGGCAAAUUCAUAUUGACAAGAUGGCUUCCAUACAUACCUCACCCCUCAUAAUUUAUUUAAAAAAUGAAACUUUUAAUCAUUUGUGGAUUUUAUAUAAUAGCGUAGCCUCCCAAUAGAUUUAUGCCCUACUAUAGAGGCAUGAAUGCUUCAUUAGCAUGUCAUGAUGAUAAUUGUUUUGUACAAGAAAAGUCGAUUCAUGGCAAGGUUUGUGAAUGCUCUUUAUAGGUAUGCAAAGUCGAUCAAGAGAAGUAAAUAAGAUGUUUUGGAGGUGAAUUUGGUGUACCGAUCCUUAAAACGUAAGCUUUGGAGGUCAUUGAUAUCAUCUUUCUACUUCUACUUAUACUUAAUUAUGUAGCUUUGUUAAUUGUUUUUCCAAGUUGCCUUUAUCAUUCUACACUUACUUUGUUGAAGCUUUAGCAAGAUACGCAUGGCUUCGCUGGUAGUUGCUUUUUAGCUAGUUGGGGGCUUUAAGAGGUUGCUCAGAAAUGUCAUUAGGGCUUUCAGAAGUAAACUUGUUUAAGGGUCGGGGGCAACAUUACCUUAAGCUCGAAAGUCUGCUCAAUUUUUGGUAGUGUUCAGAUAAAAAUAUAAUGUUCAAAAAAUGGGGUUACGCAUAAAAAAAAGAUUGUUUAAAAUAUGAGCAGGGCUCAGAUUGAAGCUUUCAAAGGAUAGCUCGUUUUCUAAAUUUGUAAUAUAUUAUAUUAUGUUAUUUUUAUAUAUCAUGUAUUUUAUAACACAAAAAAGUCAGAUUUUUAUAAAUAGACAUUAUGCCUAGUUCAUUGUUGCUACCAUUGUCUACAAGGAGCAAUGCCUAUUAUUAUUAUUAUUAUUAUUAUUAUUAUUAUUAUUAUCUUUCAUUGGUUUUAUCAAAGGGGGAGGAGACCUUUUGGCUUGGUCCUUAAGGGCAUAAAGUGGACGAGACCUUACACCUUAACCUUCGGUUAAUUCUACUAAGGCAGACGAGACCUCUCUAAGGGACGAGACUCCAAUUCUUGUCUUUCAAUUGUUCUCCAUAUGAGCAUAUUUACCAAGCUACACAACACAUGCCUAGUAACUAUCUUUCUAUUUUAUGAACCUACCUGGGGUGCGAGUGAGAUGGCCUUUUGGGGGUGUGGCAAAGUGCCCCCAAGUGACGCAAACGAGGGACUCCUCAAUGUGUUGGUGAAGUACUCCUUAGGUCCUUAGGUGACCUCUUAAUAGUGUUAGUGAAGGGCUCCUUAGUAGUCGGAGUGAGGGACCCAUAAUGCUAGUGAAGGGGCCUAUUGAUGUGUUGGUGAAGUACUCCUUGGAGAAUCCUUUAAUGGUGCAGGUGAUGUGUCUCUUGAUGUGUUGGCAAAGGGUCCCUUAAUGUGCCAACGAAGGACCAUUGAUAAUCCCUAUUGGGUGCGACAGAGGGCUUCUUGGUGUGUGGGUGAUAAGCCCUUUGGUGUGCUAGUGAAGGCUCUCUUGAUGUGGCAAAAUGCCUAUUGAUAUGUCGGUGAAGGGAUUCAUGGAGUGCGAGUGAGGGCUCCUUGUUGAUCCUUUUAUUGGUGCAAUAAAUACUUUUUUUUACAUAUUUGAGGGAAACGCCUUUGUUGCUCCCCAAGGUUGGAAGCUCUUAAAAACCCAAAUAUUAAGAGACUCUAUAAUGCUAAAAGUGUCGGACAAAACUCAAAAAUGGAGAAAGACAAAAGAGCUUAAAGGAAUUGAGCCAUGGAUUUUCAUUUAGGGAAGAGGCAUUCCCUUUUUUUCUCAAUUCUAACAAACAAUGUCAAUUAUUACAAACACAAAAGUUGGGGUGGUUUGUGUUGGAACAUAGUGAUAAAUUAUGUUUCUUGUUACUAAAAGUUAUUGAUACAGGUCACAAAGGCCCAACUCAAGCUCAAGAACGUGAUAGGCUAUUUCGUGUUCUUGGCUUCCAAGAAUAGCCAUUCAUAAGUGUUUUCGAUUCUUGCCUGAUUUUUUAUUGUUUUGGGUAUUUUCGUUUCAGAUCUAAUUGAUUCUGAGUUAAUUUUCUGUUUCGUUUUAGAUCUGAUUGCCUAAAGCUUUCUUAGGACUUUUCUCGUGACAUGGCAACUCGAUCUUGGUCCGCGCACAAUCUUCUAUCAGUUAUGUAACUUGACUAUGAACAAAAAGUUACAAUUAUUCAAGUAAUAUCUUAUGAAUAAUUGUGUUCAUUAUUAAUAGAUACGACUAUUCAGAUAAAUAUUUCUUAGAUAGUUAUAUUUCUAUAAAGAGACAUGAUAAUUUUUAUAAAUAGGAGAGAAAUUUCAUUUGCAUAUAUACGAAUAUAUACCAAAAUUUAAAAACAAAAGUUUCUCUAUCCACCUCCAUCUUAAUAGAAUUUGAUAUUGUUGCUAUACUCCACGUAAUGCUUAGUGGAUCAUUUUUGUCUAAUGUUUAGUGAAUCAUUUUUGUCAAUGCAAAAUGUAAACAGUCAUUGAACUUGAUUGUAUCGUUGAGACUUAUUUGCUAGUAGGGAAGUCAAUUUUAUCCCUACACAUCAAUGGUUUAUUACGGCGAUUUAUCCAUUUUUGCAUUAAUUAUAAGAUUUUUCAUUAUAUUUCCUUUCUUGGUUCUUUUUGCAAUGGCGUGGCUGUCCUCCUGCUCGAUCCCUCAAUUUCAUUUCGCAUUUAACCCUAAAAACUCAACUUGUCUUUCCCUACAUAAAGCUUCUUUUAUUGCAACAGUCUCUCCUCAGCCCCACUCCCUUUCACUCUCUCUUUUUGGCUUUAUUGUAUAAUGAAAAAUAUGCUCUUCCCCACAAGCCAUUGAUGAGCCCUUUUCAACACAAAGCUUUCACCUUCAUAAUGAAUUAAUUAGUUUUUGCUUUUCCUUUUUCCCCUGGGGUUUUAGUAUACCUCACAUUUUAGGGGUUUCUCUAGAAAAAUGACUGAAAAUCUUGACUGUUCAACCUCAAAUCUUCUCUGUUCUGAGAACACAAGCUCUUGCUUUGAUGGUGAUCUUGAUUUUAAUGCCAUGAACGAGUUUGGGGCUUCCCCUGCUUGUCAUCAACUCUUUAAAAACCAAAUCUUUAAUCAAAAUGACCCUUUCCUUAUGAACAACAGAUCAACUUCUUUGCUGGGUUGUCCUGGUUUUGCAUUACAAAGUGAUGAUGUAAUUAAGGAAAUGGUUGAAAAAGAGAUGGAGCAUUUGCCUAGAGAUGAUUAUCUUAAGAGACUGAGAAGUGGGGAUUUGGAGUUGAGUGCCAGGAGAGAGGCUAUUGAAUGGAUUUGGAAGGUUUGUUUAUUUUGCUAAGCUAUUUUUUUUCCUGAUCAGUUUUAUAUUGACAUUUUACUUGUUUGAUCCAUUUAACCGGUUUUUGUAACUGGGUUCUUGUUUAGCAACAGCAAUAUAGACUUUUCUCAGUAAAACUCAUCGCAUUGUGCAAUUUAAUGGAAUUUCCAUAGUUCGUUUGGAUCAAUCUAUUUCUUAGCUAUUGGUAGCAUUCUUUUAUAUUUAGUAAAUGUGUUUUCCCCCUUUUCUUUCAUUAUUCUUGUAAUUGGACACUUUGUUUGAUCAUUCCUCAGUGAUAAUGUGCUAGGAAUGAUGAUUUAAUCUUUCAUUUUUUAUUAACAGGCUUCAGCUUAUUUCAAUUUUGGACCUUUGAGUCUUUGCCUAUCCAUUAACUACUUGGAUCGGUUCCUAUCAAUGUAUGAUUUACCUGUAAGUUCUCAAAUUAGCUUCAAAUUUGGUUCUUUAAGUUCUUAAACCAUAAUCUAUUCACUGAUUGUUUCUAUCUUCUUGGGGGCACAGAGAGGUAAAACAUGGACUGUCCAACUGUUGGCCGUCGCAUGUUUAUCUAUUGCAGCUAAAAUGGAGGAAACAAAGGUGCCUUCAUCAGUAAACUUACAGGUGAUUACUAUAUAUAUAGAUUGAUUUUUCAUGAUUGUUAAUCCCUUGGUCUUUUUCCCAAUUUGAGUUUCAUGAUUGGGUUGUUUGCAGGUGGGGGAACCAAAGUUUGUGUUUGAAGCUAAAACAAUACAAAGAAUGGAACUAUUGGUUUUAAGUACAUUGAAGUGGAGAAUGCAAGUUUUAACACCUUGUUCCUUCAUUGAUCACUUCUUGAAUAAACUUAGUAAUGAUCAUCAAUAUCCAUCAUCAACUUCAAUCACUAGAUCAUUGCAGAUAAUAUUGAACACCACCAGAGGUUUAUUUCUCACUAUAUCUAUUUGUUUAUGUUAUUAUUAUUGAGAAUCAAUGGUGUUUGAUUGGGGAAAUGAAUGAAUGCAGGUAUUAAUUUGUUGGAGUUCAGACCUUCUGAAAUAGCAGCAGCAGUGGCCAUUUCUGUUUCAGGACAAAUGCAAAGAUGUGCCAUUGAUAAAGUUAUUUCAUCAUUCAUCUUUGUACAAAAGGUAAAAAUAAAAAAUAAAGAAGAUACAAAAGUGGUGGUGCCUGUAAAUACUUGAAAAACUCACAACAAGAGAAGAGUCAAUUACUUUUAUUUUUUAUUUUGCAGGAAAGAGUGUUGAAGUGUGUUGAAGUGAUGAAAGAUUUGACAUUCAUUAAUGGCUCAGCUGCUACUACUUCAGCUACAUCAUCGGUGCCCCAAAGCCCCAUUGGGGUAUUAGAUGGUGCAGCAUGUUUGAGCUAUAAAAGUGAUGAAAUAAAACAUGGGCUAUUUGCAAAUUGUUCUCAUCCUACACCAGAUCUUAAAAGGAGGAAACUAGACAAAUCACCUCAACCGGAUCACAUCUGAAAUUUUCCCUGGAAUAAAAUUUUAAGGUGAAAAAUAAAAAAAACAAAUAUGGGUCAAAGUUGAAGAGAAGUGAAUGGUGCCUCAGCCAUUGCCAUGGAGGUGGUGUUUUUGGAAACAAAUACUGCAGCUUUAUUAUUAUUACCAUUUGUUGUAGAUUAGAUUUCAAUUACAGAGAGAGGGGAGAAAUAUCAUGUCAGAAAUUAUAAGCAAAAGAGUGUAAUAUUCUUUCAGGCAGCAAUUAGAGUGUAAUUAUGGGCAUUCUAAUCAUAAUUGAAAAAUGCUGUUAUUUCUUGAUGGUGGGUGGUUUGUGUAAACCCAAAACUGAACCAAACCUCAGAUGUUGACCGGUCUUACUCUAAACCCAAUACUAUACCUUUAAUUUAUUUAAGUUGUCUGUUUCUGAAUUCUGAAAUAAAAACAGAAAACACAAAAAUAAAUGUGAGGGCAGAAGCCUUGGGAAUCCGCAGGCUACUUACUCACUGCCAUCAAAUUUCCCACAUCCUCUUCUCUUUAAAAGUAAUUCAUAUAUUAAUCUUUAUAAUAUGAAAAUGUUACUUUAAUAAUUAUAAUUUAAUUCUAUGACAUGUCUCUGACAAGUUGAUAUAUGUCAUUGAGAAAUAGUUGCUCCACGUGUUCUUUUUUAUAUAAUUAAAUUAUAAGAUAAGCUUGAGAAUAGAAAAAACUUGUAAUAUAUGAUAUCUUAAAUCUAAUUAUGACACAUAAAAUAAUAUAUAUCCUCCAAUAUAAACUAUAUCAUUGAGAUUUACAAUAGCAUUUUUAUCGUCACAUCGUUUUGUUAAAGAAAAAAACAGAACAUACAUAUUCUUUGUAUUCUUUCCUCCUUAACAGCCAUCAGAGCUUCCAAGGGAGGGGAGCAUGUAUUAUCAGAUGCUCGAUCCCGAGCAGCCGAGUAAACCCAUUGCACGAUAACGUCGUGUGACGGAGUAUCACGAGAGAUUGUGAUGUCAGCUAUGGAGUUGCAAAGCUUCCUUUAGGCAUGUAACAGCACCGUCAUAGUUUAAGAAGCCCAUGAACCAAAAUUCAUGACUAUCAACGGUGAUAACUUGGAUGUACUUUUCAGCACAAUUGAGUCGGCUCGUCGAAGGAUUAACCGCUUUAAGUUGAUGUAAUGUGAUAACUACCUGUUUUAAGCAGAGUAAGAAUGUCGAGAAUCAUAUGAAUCUCAUAUAUAUAUAUAUAUUUCCAUACCCAUCAAACACAAAUAUUUCAAUAAAAAUGAAAGGUUAUAACCUUAUAGUAGCUCCAUUCAGUUUGGGUACCAUUUUUAUAGGGAAGGGGAGUGUCACUGCAAUAUGCAAGCUUUGCUGUAGAUACAUAUAAAAUUCCCAUGACAGGUCCAGCUGACGUGGACAAAUAACAUACAAAUGAAUUCCCAAGUUGCUCUUCCGGAUCCGUUACAAAAGUGUGUCUGAAUAUCUUCUCAUACCCACCUUCUGCUAAAACCUUUGUUCCUUGUGCGAUUCUUCCCAUGGCUGCCUCUGCCAAACUCGGGCUUGUUUUUACUGUUUAAAUAGAUAUUUAAGGUUUUUUUCCAAUAUUAUAUACUUAAACUUGGAUUUAAUGUUUAAUUUGAAAGCUAAAGUUUAUUUUGGUUCGAUUAAGGGUGAGUUUGGAUGAGCGGUGCGUUUACCUGCGGUUAGUGUAAAAACAGCGGUGACGGUGAGAUUAAAUACUGUAGCGAUACUAUAGCGUGAGACAAAAAGUAAACUAAACGCACCGCACCGCACUCAAUCGCCCAUCCAAACCCAACCUAAGUAUCUAAACUUUGCUUCUUGGUUCAAAAUGGUAUAAGAAAUCAAGCUUAGGUACUUGGUUAUUUGAACUAUAAAAUUAAAUUCAUGUGUUAAUUCAAACAAAAAAUCAAAUCCAGAUACCUAAUUGGAUAAAAAUAAAAUUUAAAUACCAAAAUAAAUCUUGAGUUCAAUUCAAGUAUAAUUGAAAAAAAAAAUUAAAUACCAAUUUUAACUUUGAGGGCCAUAAUAUAUAUUUUCCUUAAAAAAUAUAUAAGAAAAAAAAGCAAAUUAACAGGGGAAACAUACAAUGCUGCCACGUGUUCCCUGCAAGAUCCUCGGCUUUUCUCGUGGCUUCUCCCACUUUUCUCCCCCAUCUCCCCAAGACAUCCUUCACAGUGUCCAUUUUCUCUGUGUUCGAUUUCAAGAUGAAUUAAAAUUUUCAAAAUGAAAGAUAACAAUGGAAAUAAAUGUGUUGUAAUUGCUUGCCUUUGAAGGAAGUCGAAAAUGAUUCCGGAGCAGGAGACUGAGCAAUGUAAGGAUUGGAUCCGUUAACAGCGGACAUGGUGACGCUGUGAUCCGCAGCAGGCGAUUCACUAACUAACUCGGCGCUCCAACGAACAGAUUUCCUGGACCCGGUUGAUGUUUGAUUCGGUGACCGCUCGCUUUGAACCUCAUUCUCUUUCGGAUUCUGAGCCUCUUUCUCUUCUUCUUUCUCCGGUUCUGUUGUUGGCACAAUAACAAAUUCAUCCGCGUCCAUUUCGGGAUCCGACUCUUUCCGGUUCGGUUCUUCGGCCGGUGAGCUGGACUUUGACUCGGCUACCGUCGUCCAUUGUUCCAUUCUUGUAGAACGUUCAGAAAAAAUGGCUCCACGUGAAGUGGCGUGGGUUUUUUGUUGGAAGUUUAGUCGGAGGCUGGUAUUUGAUCUUUGUAUUUUUCUUUUUAAAGAAAAGAAUAACUUGAGCUGACCAGAACUGGAAAAAGGAAGGAAUAACUUAAGCAGCGAAAUUGCUAACAGUAAUAAUAUGCAACCUACGCUCUCACACCAACUUUAAUACUUAUUACAAAUUAGUAGCGGUCAGUCACUCAGUUGGUUAAUAAUUUUUUAAAAUUUUAGUUACCCAUUAAUUCGAUUCAAAAUAGGUAACUAAUCAAAUUAAUCGAAAUAAAUAAUAUAUAAUAUAUUUGUAUUAGAAAUGUAUUUUUUGAAUUAUUAUUUUUUAUAUUAAUCAAAAUAAAUAUUAUAUAUUAUAUAUAAUAUAUUUUGUGAACUAUUAAAAAAAAGAAAAUGAACAUUAGUAAUGUUUUAUAUUUAUUUUAACCAAAAGACAAGAAUAUAUAAAUUUCGAUUAAUUCGGUGUUAACCGUCUAAAUUAGUCGAAAUAUUUUGAUUUGAUUAAUGUAUUUAAAAAAAGUAAUUCAAUUAGUGGUUAAAGAUUUUUAUAUUUUAAGUAAUUUAAUUAAUAAUAAUUUGAUUCGAUUAAUAAUUGAACUGACCAAUUAAACACCCCGUAAUGAUAUGCACAAAAAUACAACACAUGAAUAACAUGUUUUAAUUUAGUAUGAGUUUUAUUAUAUAAUCGUGUUUUACGUAAUAACCAUGUCGAUCAAAUACAAGUAAGACGUCGAGACAUGACUGAGACGUAAUUAAUUAGCUCAAAGAUUACCCUCAAUUUUUGUUGGAAUACAUGUAUUGAUGGAUUAUAAUUAUUAGUUUGUCAAAAUUUAUUUUCAUUGUUUGUUUAGUUAUGUACAUUUAGAAUUUUUUCUAUGAAUAUUUUAUAAUAUUUAUGAUUUUUUAAAUAUUUUGAAAAAAUUCUAUGUAUUUAUUAAUUUUUUUAAUUUUGUAUAAUUAUAUUUUUUAAAUUUUAGAAGAACGACGGAAUUCAUCAAAUUGAUAAAUAUGUAAACCUUCAAGGUUAGCAUUUAUGAAUGAUAAAAAAAAGUUUACUAUCCUCCUUUUCUGCACAAAUAAGAUGUUUAUCAUUCAAUCUGAGUAUUUUUGUUUGAUUUUAUUGGCUCAUGAUUCUUUACCAAACAAAUCGUUUUUUUUUUACCUAAAUAAUAAAAAAUAAUAAUUAAUUAAAAAAGUAUGAAAAAUAAAUUAAUUAUAAAAAUAAGCCUUAGUUACAGUGUUUUGACGGUGCUAUUUGACAAAUUGGCAACAUUAGACUAAAAUAUAAUGACCUAAAAUAUUCAGGAAUUUGAUACGUAAAUUUUCUAUUUUGGUUGGCGGCUUGGUAGUUUAGCGGCAUCAAACUUGAAAUAGGUAAAUUAUUCCAUAAACCCCCUUAUUUAUUAUUUUCUUUUAUUUCCCUUUAACACCAAAAAUAAAUAAAAUAAUGAUUUUUUUUUAGAUUGUUCAAGGUCUCCUGGUGAUAUUCAUGGCUGCCACGGAUGAAAUUGAAGCGAGUUCAUGCCGACCCUCAGCAGCUUCUCGAUCAUAGGUCUCAAUCGCGAUACUAGACCCAGAGUGUUUUGGUGAAACGACGAUUAUUUGGAAGCUCCUCCAAGAUCCCAUCAAUGUCGAUAUUUGUCAUUUCCUUUUUUAUUUGCUCGAAUUAAAAAUCUGCUCUACUGCACCCAUUAUCAAUUAAAAAUAUUAAAAGUCUUCAAUGAAAAAGAUAGGGGGAAAAACCCGGACAAAAGGAAUAUUGAGAUAAAAAAAAAAUGGGGUUAAUGUAGGGUUGGUGAGAGAUAUCAAAGGAAGUAAAUACAGAGAUGAUUUUUUAAGAUAUAUAUAAUCAAAUAUGAACAAAUUAGAAGCAAACAUAAAUAAAAAUAAAAUUGCUUUAUGUUGAUUUAAAUUGAGAAAUGAGAUAUUAUACCUUAUAAGUAAAAAAAAGAAAACAGACGAAAAAGAGUGAGUUUUGAAUAACAGAAUAGUAAGGAAAAAUAUUUUUCGCAAAAUAAAUAACUUUUGUGGUGUUAAAAGAAAGGAAAAGCAAAGAACUUAAGUGACAACCAAAACGGGAAAUUUACAUAUCAGGUCCUUAAAUAUUUUAAAUCAUCACAUUUUAAUUUUGUGUUGCCAAUAUGUUAUCAAACAUUGUAGCAAAUACCUAUUUUUAUAAUUAAUUUAUUUUUCAUACAUUUUUUAUAAUUAAUUAUUUUAUAUUAUUUUGAUAAAAAAACCUAAAUGAAAUAAAUUUUCAUAUCUUAUAUAUUAAUUAACCAUAGUAAUUAUGGUUAUAGUUUUCAUUAUUUGAAUAUAUCCUAAUCAUUAGGAAAAAAAUUAAUCAUUAUAAAACAUAAUUAAAUAUCUUUAUUUUUAUUAAUCUUU